rnacentral:lncRNA from 1 species
GCGAACUGAGGGAGAGGAUUGAACCCUCCAGACGGAGACGCUUGAGAUGGCAAGAGCCCACUUUGACUAAUUCAUUACGAAAAUAAUCGACAUCUUGCUCUUGCAAUUCACUUAACUCAAGGUCUUCAAUUCUCUGCAGUUGCACGAUCAGCGAAUCCUUCAAGCAAAUCUCGUUAUUUAGCCAGAGUCUGAAUUCACGACACCAAAUGUUGGUGCUCUCCCAAUAGCCAUGAUCUCCAAUGCGUAUGCCGUACCUUUCCAGCUUCUCCAAGAGCAGGCCUCUGGGCAGAGUGCUGACGUCAUAGACGUGUAAUUCCAAAGAGGUCAAGUUGGGCAAAUGCUUCAACUCCUCAAGGCUUGCAUUCUUAACCCCUUCUACCUCCACCUCCCAUUUAUCAAAGCUUUUAUCUAUAUAUAGUUCUUCUAAAUGGGAUAAUUUUGACAGUAUAUUUGGUGGAAUAACUAUUAGACACCAACAAUCCCUCAAAUCAAGCAGCUUUAGCCAAGUCAAUUCACCUACUUCUACCGGCAACUUCUUAAUUGUAGAACCUCUUAAGCAAAGGAUUUCUAGUUUCUUCAAGGCUCCCACAACACUUAUAUCAACCAAGCUGCAGUCACACAAACUCAGUGUUCGAAGGUUUGACAGGAGACCAAGUGAUGAAGGCAGUGACCGUAGAUUCAUGUCAGUCAAGUUGACAACUCUGACCUGUAUCAUCCUCUCGAAAAAGUUGUUUGGAAUUGUUUCCCACAAAUCAGCACGUAUAAAAAGAAGUUCGAGUUGAGGACAUUCCAGUACUUCAGGAAACAAAUUAGUCUCGAUAUCAUGUAAGACGAUUGAAGUGCAAUGCUUUAUUGCACUUCCGUCUAACCAUUCCCUGCAACCAUCAACCUGCUCAUUUGUAGCAGUAAACACAUUUCGUUCAGUAGAUGCAAUUGAUAUGGCGACAUCGCGAACUACAUCAUGCAUAGAAAACAACUCUUCAUUCUCGCUUUCAUGGUCAAGCAACAUACAAGAAGCUUUGAGUGUGCGCACCAAUGUAUGUACUCGAUUUCGUGCUUCUUCAAUCUUAUUCACACCUUGAAAUAAACCCAAUCCCAUACCACACAUUAACAAGUCAUCAAUAUAUGCUAUGGCUGUAUAUCCUAUUAGCAAAAAGAUGUUCUUGAGAUCAUCCCUUCCUAGUUUAUUGUAGCUCAACUCGAUAGCUUUAAAUGCGGCUGGCUGUACAUCCUUAAAAUUCGAUGAAGGCCUUCUUAGCUGUUCCAAUGCAUCCUUCCAUUCACGUAUGCUCUUGCUCCUUAAUGCCCUUGCAACCGUCACAAUGGAAACUGGUAGACCUGCACAUUCCUUUGCCACAUCCCUUGCUACCUCUUUCAAUUUAUUACCUUCAACAUAAUCACCUGCCAUCUUCGUGAAUAGACUCCAAGCUUCAUCUUCUUUUAAAAAUCCAACUGGGAAAUUUUUUCGAGACUCCAUCUCUCCAGACAAUACUUCUUCACUCCUUGCCGUGAACAGCACUUUACAUCCCAUGUGAUCAUCUCCGUGAGGAAUUCCGACAUCCAACAAAUCAAGAUUUCCCCAAAUAUUAUCCAAGAUUACAAGGAUCCUCUUCUCUUUCUUCAGUCGAUCAUAAAGUCUUCUUGCCCUACCCGAUUCACUCUCCUCAUCAAAUUUUAGACCUAGUUUAUCUGCGAUUUCUCCUUGAAUCUUUCUUACGUCUCGACUCUCAGACACCUCAGAAAAAACCACCUGAUCGAAAAGCUUGUCACACUCUGCUUUUCUAGCAACUUCUUUAGCUAGUGUCGUCUUUCCGAUUCCGCCCAUUCCAUAAAUCAAAAGCAUGUUGACAUUGGGAUUUUUUAAAGCAUCAAUUAUUUCAUUCAGAAUGGACGUUCUUGAUUCAAAGGCCUCGAAGUCUUUGUUAGGCAUAAGCAAGGUAUCCUCCGGAAUGAUGCUGUAGGAAAUACUAUUAACUGGUCUAGCGUCCAGGACUUUGACAACAGCCUCCUUCUGCCUCUCUGCUUCCUUGCUAAGUCGAGGGCGGGUCUUCAAAUUAGGACAUAACCCCUUGAAACAACGCUUAUUUGCAGUGGCUUCAUCUUCUGUAAAUUUAUCUGCCUCUUCAAUGACACUGUUAGCCGUUGCAAGCCAUUUCUCAACGUUCUCUUCAAUCUCUUCUCCUUUUCUUUUAGCCUCAUCAACCCGGUGCUCUAGAGUAACCCUCUCAGACUUCAGAUUGUCAACUUCAGUCUUGAGAUUCUGCAAGUUACUUGUGUACUUACUCUUGCGCAAAUAGCAAAUUCGGCGAUAUGCGGCAGGAGCCACGCACUUUACAACUUCUAAAACAAUAGUAAGAAUGAUUUCAGCCAUCUUCAGUCCUUUGUCCUUGUCUCUCUAUCUCUCUUUUUCUGAAUUUUGGAAAAACAAUUCAACAAGCGACCACAACAAGAUGGAACAAAUAAAAAGGAAAAAAAAUACAAAGAGUGGAUGGAGAAUAAAACAGAGACAGCGGCACAGCUGGACACAACUAGAUAGAGAACAGAGGAAAACCAAAUAACAAGACUUCAGAUUACAACAAACAGAGGCCAAGUAUUAUUGUUGAGAUCAGAAGAUGGAAAAUUCAAAAGAGUUGAUGGCAGAUGCUGAAUAACAGAACAACAAUGAACGCAAUAAACAGAAGCAAAGUGUGUUUGUGAUCGACAGACGGAAGUAAGGAGAGCGGUUGUUGAUUGAAAAUGAAUGAAUGCAAAGAAAGACUGAUGUUGAAAAUUGAUGUCAAUAGCGAAGGAAUAAUUGAACUUUCGCUGAAUUAUUGUUUGUGGCUUCUUUUACUUUUUAUUUGUGGGUCAUGUCUCUUGGAACUAAUCAUCUUAGGUUAUGCCUUAUAGCUUUAAGGCCGGUAAACCGGUGUCCGUUGGAUUAGCAUAUAGAAAUCCAACAGUGGAUAUAUGUACUUGCAGAAUAAAAUUCAAGAGCAAAGGGAGUGCCGGGCUGCAGUUUCUUAAGGAGAUUUAUAUAUCCUCCUCAAAAAUAAAUGUUUUAAGGUAGAUAUUUAGACUAUUUCAUCAUAAAAUAAAUGUAAUUAAUUUUCAAUAAAUAUCUUAUAUAAAUAUUUAUUUAUUUUUUUAAUUACUAAUGACCUUUGAAUAUACAUAUAUACAUAUUACUAAUUCAAAAAAUAAAUUGUGAUUAUUUGUUAAUGCAUGUGAUUACUUGUGAUGGUAAACAAAGUAGAUAUGGUAUAUUUUGAAGUUAAAUUAAAAAAAAAAAAACAGAGCUUUUACCAUUACUUGCCUUAUCAUCUUUUAAAUUAGAGUUAUUAUUCUUUUAUUUUUCAAGUUGCCAACUCAUCGCAUUCUCUUUUAUUGAAUUUGAAGGUUAAUGAUUAUAAAUUUGUGUAAAAAUUUGAAGUCAAAAUUUUAAAUUAAAAUAAUCUUUAAGUUAUUGAAAAAUAAUAACUUAGUAAAACAAAUAUUAUAUCCUAUACUUUAUUGCUACAAAAUUACGAAACCUUUUAGUUUCAAAAAAAAAAUUUAUGAAACCUUAUAUUAUAUUAUGUUUCCAUAUUUCUCCUUUAUAGUGAAGACUCAUACUUCUCUAAUAAAUGCUAAAGAAUUGGCUUAAUUUUUUUAACCAGCAUGGUAGACCCUUAAGCUAUAUAUACUAUAAUGUCCCUCUUCUCUCACAACAGAUUAAACCAAUCUGAUCUCAGAGUGAGUUGAUACCAUGACUUUGCAUCAUUCGUGAUCAAAGGAGCAUCAUUACUAACUAAUACAUGCUCGAUCAAUAGGCAUGAUAAUAAAUUUUUUAUCUACAAACACUAUUUUUCAAAAUAUUAUAUCUUUAGACUUAACUAAAUAUUUUUUAACUAUGUAGAUAUAGUUUGUUUGAUCUCUUUUAAAUAGUGGAGAUUACAAACAAACAGAUGCGAAUUAGUAGUGAUGUUGAGUUCAGAAGAUUGAAGUUAAGAAAAUUAAGGGUUUCUUGAUCUAGAGAAAUUUCAAAUGAGUGAAGCGUCCUCGAAAUCGGAAGACGAAAAUAAGGAAAGGGUAAGGGUGUAUUUUCGAUGUGAUUCUAUUAGGAGAUCUUUGAAGUAGGGGUGGGCAAAUCGGGUUUCGGUUUGGGUUGUUCAGAUUUCGGUUUCGGUUUCAACCAAUCGAGUUGGAGAAUUGAACCCAAUCAGGUUGAAAACGCCAACCCCAACUGAACCGAACUGAAUUUAGUUCAGGUUCAUAAUUCUGAUCGGACUGGGUUGGUAAUUCAGGUUAAAAUUUCGGUUCGGGUUAAUUCGGGUUAGAAUAAUUCAAUCUAAAAUUUUUGGUUAGUUCGGUUUAAAAUGGGUUGGAACAAUUUAAUCCAAAAAUUCUACCAACAACCACUUAAAAUCCAAAAAUCUCAAUUCCAAACAUCCUUAACAACAAAUAUCAACUACAAACCACCCUUAACAACAUUUCAACAAUAACAAUAACAAUAAUAACAACAAUAACAAUAACAAUAACAAUAAUAACAACAACAACAAUAAUAAUAAUAACAACAACUAUGAAUCAGCAAUUCAGCAUAUUGCCAUAUUCUAAAUUUAAAAAAAAAACACAAAUUAAUUAAUUAACAAUCUCCAAUUUAAUUUAUAAUAACAGUAAAAAUCCUCUCCAAUUUAAUUAAUAAUAGUCUCCAAUUGUUCAAUUACCAGUCAACAGCAACAAACCCUCUCCAAUUUGUCACGAACAGCCUCUAAUUGUUCAAUUAUUAGUCAACAACAAAAAAACUCACUCCAAAUAAUUGAACAAUUGUUAAUUAAUUAAUUAAAAAUAUUGAAUUUAAUUAAUAAAAACACCCAGGAGCAAGUUAGCAAUAUUCCCACUCCAAAAUCCAAAUAUCAGUAUAAACUAAAGGCAUAUUUGGUACAUUGUAUUAUAGAGUAUUAAAAUAAUGUUCACAUUAAAAUAAUAACAAACCUAUGUUUGGAACAAAAUUACAAAGUAUUAGGGUGGGAGGCUAAAAUGCGUGAGUUGACGCAUUAGCUUUGCUUUUUUUUUUUUUUUCAUUUUGCUUUUUUGACUUUUCUGUAUGCUUUAUUAUAUUAUAAUGCUAAAAUAAUAAAUAAAUAUAGUUUUUAAUUUAAUAUAAUAUUUUUAUUUUAUUUGUUUUUACAUUAUAAUUAUUAAUAUAAAUUAAUAAAUAAUUUAUCAUUCAAUAAUAGUAUUUUUUAUUUUUACAUUAUAAUUUAUUAAUAAAUUUAUAAUUUAUUAUAACUAAUAAAAAUAUUUAAAUUUGAAUAAUAUUAAUUUAAAAUUAAUAAUAAUAUAAAUAAUAACAUAAAAUAUUAAUGCAAUUUGAAUAUAUUAAAUCAAUAUAAAACAUUAAUAUAAUAUAAUAUUUAAUUUAAAUUAAUUAAAAAAUAUUACAGUACAAUAUAGCACCAAACAUUGUACAACAUUAUUAUAAUAUAGUGUUAAUACAAUACAGCAUAAUACAAUACACCAAUAUUAAAAUAAUGCAAUACAAUAUAAUAUAAUAUAGUGUGCCAAAUUCUAAAACUAUAUUUGAUUGAUGUAUUAAAGCUCUUCAUUACAUUAAAUUUAUACAGGCCCAUGUUUGAUAGAUAAAAGGCUACAACAACACUAUAUUGUUGGGCCAAGAUAAUGAGGCAACUGCUGCUACCUUUUUUUUUUUUUGUCCUUUAACAUUUUUCACUUUUCACGUGCUUUUGCCUUUUGCUUUGACUUUCCUUUGUUUUAACUUUUGUUUUUGUUUAUUAAUAAAAUAAUAAUAAAUAAAUAUAAUUUUUUUAAUUUAAUAAAAUAUUUUUUACAUUAUAAUUAUUAAUAAAUUUAUAAUUUAUUAUAACUAAUAAUAAAUAUUUAAAUAUGAAUAAAUUUCAAUAAAUAAUAUUUAAAAUUAAUAAUAGUAUAAAUAAUAAUAUAAAAUAUUAAUAAAAUUUAAAUAUAUUAAUAUAAUCUUUUAAUUUAAAUUAAUCACAAAAAAAAUUAAUACAGUAUAAUAUAAUAUCCAACAUUGUAUAGUAUUAUUAUAAUACAGUGUUAAUGCAAUACAUCAUAAUACAAUACACCAACAUUAAAAUAAUGUAAUACAACAUAAUACAAUACAAUAUGCCAAACGCACCCUAAGUGUCAAACCUUGAUCGGUGGGAAGCUACAGCGUCGGCAAAGCGUGACCGUGUGGGACUGAGUGAGACCGUCGAUCGAGGGUGUGAGAAGGGAGAAGAGGGAGCAAGGAGGUGUAACGUGGUGUGUGUGAGUUUAUAUAUAUAUAUAAUUUUUAAAAGCUAAAACUUAAAAAAAAAAAUUUAACCCAAUCCAAACGCCCACCUCAGAUUACUUCCGUGUUAAGAGCUGGAUCCCACACUCUUGAGCCUUUUUCGUCCCAGCAAUUAUAAAAAUAAGGGUCCGCCUAUGUUGCCACUGUUGUACCUAGGGAUGGCAAUUUUCGGGUCCGAGUCCGGGUUUGGCUGUUCCGGAUUCGGACCCAGACACAAAAUUCUCAUAACUGGACCCGCAUUAAACCCGGAUUUUUUUAAUCCGGGUCCGGUCCGGGUUCAACCCGAAAAAAUCCGGGUUUACGGAUUCCGGGUUUUGAACCCAGAUUGCUUUAUUAUUUUUUUUUUUUGAGAGAUCAUAUGGCUUAAUUUAACAGGGCACAAGGGAUGGUGGUUUAAUGUUUUAAUGUUUUCCCCAACAACACAUUACAUAAUUCUUCCUAGAAUUGGUUCAACAAAAUUUGAUGGAUAAAAGGCAAAAAAAGAACAUAUAACACAUCCAAAACCACCAGACUACUAGAACCAAAUUGUUUAACUUUGGUUCAUCAAAAUUUGCUGGACACAGGGCAAAAAAACAGAACAUAUAACACAUCCAGGUUCUAAAACAAAUACAACACAAAUACACAAUAUAAAAUCUAAAAUUCAAAGUUUUAAAGUAAUAAACAUCCACAAAUACAAAUCCAUAACAUAAUUCUACAACUUAAAACUCAAAUUUUCAGCCACUAGUGCUAAAGACUAAACUCUGAAUCAUCCAUUUCAUUAGACUGUUGCUCACUCAUCCAACUUUCAUUAAUCAAAUGCUCUGCAGAAAGUAUUGCUUCCUCUGGAAUUCCAUCUACAAAAAAUGUGUAAAUCAUAAACAUAAUGAACAAGACAACCAAUUAGUGAUAAAUUAUUAAUAAGAACAAUACAACAAAUAAUUUGAUUCUAAUAAAUAAAAUUUUCAUACCUUUUAAGUUUUGUUCAAGCCAAAACUAAUUUUGAGUGCACACCAAUGCCUCUACUGUGGAUGGGUGAAGUCUACUGCGAUGAGGGCUCAAAUGUCUACCUCCAGUGCUAAAAGCGGACUCCGAAGCAACUGUUGAUACAGGAAUGGCCAAAAAGUCCCUUGCAAUCUUUGCAAGUAUAGGAUAUUUGCCUUGAUUAUUCUUCCACCAUGAUAAAAUGUCAAAUUGACUAGUUGAAGGCAAAGUACUCUCCUCAAGAUAAAACUCUAAUUCUGAUUUGGAAUGAGUAUUUUGUGUGUUUUCAUUUCUAAAUAAUGCCCACUCAUCAGCCAUUUCAUCCAAAUCUAAAUCUAACAUAUUAGAGUCCCCUCCUGCAGCAGCUUGAGAAUUGGCACCAUUAACCCCCCACUUGAAUUUGAUAGAUGAUUUACUUCAUACUCAUGUACUAAAUCAACAAAUAGCUUACGCACUCUUUCAACUUCGGAUUCAGCUCUUUCCCCAUAUAUUUUAGGAAAUAAAAAGUUAAUCAGUAACAUUUUACGCCUAAGAUCUAACAUAGUCCCCACUGCAAGAACUCCAUGAAUAACAUCCCAAUACUUUUCAUACUUUGCAAUCAUCCUAGUAGCCAUAUUUUUUAUCCCCUCAAUUGGUGAUUGCAACCAUGCAUUCAUUGACAAUCUAAUUUCACAAAUCUUGGCAAAAAAUAAAUUAGAUGUCAGAUAUCGUGUCCCCGAAAAAAGUUCUGUCAACUUAUAAAAGCUUUUUAGAUACUCACACAUAAGCUUUGACAAAUUCCACUCUGACUCACUAGGUAAAGAUGUAUAAUUUCUCUCACGUUCCUUUAAACGAUCAAAUACAUCUUUAUACAGCAAUGCAGUACUAAGCAUCAAGUAAGUAGAGUUCCAUCUAGUUUUACAAUCAAGUACUAAGUUUUUGGUUUCCUUAAUACCUAAUUGUUUUUUUGCAUUCUCAAAAUUUUCAACUCUAGCUGGUGUUGCUGUCCAAUAAUGAACACUAUCUCUAAUUUUCUCAACUCCCUUUUGUAUCACUGAAAAACCAUCUCUAACUAUCAAGUUCAAUAUAUGAACACAACAACGCAUGUGAAAGAAUUUGCCACCCAUAAUCAUUGAACUAGUAGAAAAUUUCCCCAACAACAAGGCAAUCACAGAAUCAUUUGCAGCACAAUUAUCAGCAGUUACAGAGGACAAUUUUCUAUCUAUAUUCCAAUCUAUCAAACAAUCAUAUAACUCAUUACACAUUACCUCAGCACUAUGUGGAGCUGGCACAUAUAUAAACCUAACAAUGUGAAAAAAUAGUUAAAAUAUUAGACAGGACAUUAAUUUAUGCUUAAACCAAAAAAAAGGUUUCAAGAAUAUUACCUCAUAAUACGACUUCGCAACACCCAUGAGCUAUCAAUGUAAUGUGCCGUAAUAACCAUGUAUCCUUUUUUUUUUUGUUACUAGCAGUCCACAUAUCAGUAGUAAUUGCGAUUAUACUCUCACAAGCUUCCAAAAUACCCAUUGUCUUUUUCUUUUCAACAUCAUAAAUUCUCAAAAUUUCAGCUUUGAUGGUGUUUAUACUAAUAGUCUCAAUAGAAGGUUGGAGUAGCUUCAACAAGUCAUAAAACCCAACAUACUCAACAAAUGCCAAGGGGAGCUCAUGUAGUACAAUCAUUCUAGCUACAAAAAGCUUUACUGUAGUCAUAUCCCAUUUUGAUUCGGAACUAAAAUUACUAAGUGAAGUGCUUCCAUCAACUUUAGAAGAAAAAGAUAGGUGCAUUUGUUGUACAUUCUUAAAUGACCUUCUAGGACAGCGUUUAGCAUGGUUUAUUAAGUGAUUAGUACCCCUCGAAUAAUGUCCUUGCAUAACUAACCCACAGUAAUUGCAAAUUGCCUGAACUUCCUCACCCAACUUAACUUUUUUGAAAUGAUUCCAAGCAUCAGAGACUAUUCUACCACCACCAUCUCAUUUUUGUGAAGUGACAUGAUUAGUAUUACCCCUACGGCCACGGCCACUCCCCUGAACUGCUGCUGUUGAAUUUGGUUAUAAUUCAAUAGCUGUAUCAUUAUUAUUUUCUGAUUCUGUCCUAACUCUCACACAAACACUUUCAUCACUUUUUUCAGAGGCAUCCAAGUCGAUUCUUUGUUCAUUUUCCAUAUCAAUUUUUCACUUUACAAAAAUUAUGUCAAGAUAUAAUUAAUUCCAACAACUUCUUCCAAUUUAUAUGCUAUGUUUAACCGUAAAAGCUAUAAAUAAUAUUUUAGAGAUACCAUUUCUAUUCUUUAACAGCAACAAUAAAAAAUAAUUCAAAAAAUAAACUAUAAAUAAUAAAAUUGAAGCAUAACAAAGUAUAGAUUCUAAAAAUCACAGAGUUUAGCUAUUAAAGUCACAAAGUAUAGAUAUUAAAAUUACAAACAAAGCAAAACAACACAUAGAGCACAGAACACGGUCUAAUUAAAUUGUGAAGACAGUCACAGUGAGUAUCCUAACCGAAUUUCGUUAAUCUAUAUGAAGAGAACAGUUAAUGCCACAAGAUGACUUCUUCUAUCGCUGUUUGGGCCAGCCAAGAACCCACAACCAGUUAAAGCCUUAAGCUGUGCUAGACUGCUAGGUGGCUAAGCAAAAGAACUAGGAUAAAAUAAGGGUCUGCCUAGCGCAAGUCAGCGGUAGAAAUGUUAUUUAUGCAAAUUUCUUAAAUUUGACGUUAUAUCUCCUAAACAAUUCUUAGACCGGGAGUGAAGAUAUUUGCACAUAUUUGCAGAUAUCCUAAAAAUUUCUUACUGCAUUGGCAAAUUAUUCUAAAUUUCUAAUCGAGGAAAAAGAUCAGGAGUGUACAAUACUAACUGGAAAGAGUCAUUAAACUUCAAGCAACUCAAUAUACACAAGUAGUAAAAGCACAGGACAAGGUCGAACCCGAUUUCAGUGAGAGAAAGCAAAAGCAAGCCAAACAAAGUAUUAAUGCUAGUCAGGCUCAGAACUACCAUUCAUGCAGCUAGCCAUAGGCAGCAGCCCUUUGGCUAGUUAUACUUCAAAUUCAAUUCUAAGCUUACUCACUAACCAACUCUUAAUGCACAAAACCAACAAUACGCUUUAGCAGAAAAAAUGGAAACUGUUCUGUUUUAGACAAUAGUUUCUCCUUGUGCUAGAAAAACAAAGAACAAAAAAAGGCAAAUAAUUCAGAAAAACAAAAAGUUUAUAAUUAGCCAAGUGCUCUCAUAUGUCAUAUACAAAGAAAACCAUGUCUGAGGGAAAAUCAUGAAAUACUAGUUAUACAACCCAAGAGGGGGGUGAAUUAGAAUUCUAAAAAAUUAUUCAAUUUUUAAUUUAAAGCUCAAUGUAGAUAUGAAACAAAUUCAAAGCAAUAACAAAUAAGUUAACCACAAUAAAAAGGAUAAAGGAAGAGAGAUUCAAACACUGAGAUUUUUACGUGGUUCAGCCAACCUUGCCUACGUCCACGCCUCCAAGCUUUCCGAGCUUGAGGAUUCCACUAAGCAAGCCUCCAAGGUUUCAAAUGCUUACACUUGACUUCGAAGGUGUCAAUGACCUUUACAACAAGAGAUUAUCCCAAUCUCUUAACCCAAAUGUAUCCCAACACUUACAAUCACUCAAAGAUAAAAUAUUAUAAACUUGUUUUGCCUCUCACAAUAUUUAAGAUUACAAAAUAAUACCCAAUAUGUGAAUAGAUGAAGCAAGAAUGUAUUUAAAGCUUAAUGAAGAUUUUAUUCUCAAGUAUAAGCUCAGUAGUAGUGUUGUGAUCAAUCCUUGUUUAAGUUUGAAUGAGCUCAUUUAUAGCUGCAGCUGAAAACUAGCCGUUAUUGACUUCCUGCACACUGUCGGAUCGCCAUUAGCUAGAUGUCGGAUCGCCGUUUGACUGGUCAAUAUGACCGUUGAGCUGAUUUUUCAAAUUAUCGGAUCGCCGUUAUCUAGAUGUCGGAUCACCGUUUAGGUCUAGAGGCUAACCUUCAGUUCUGUUUGAUCUCAGCGAGCCGUUUAUUAAACUUGUCGGAUCACUGUUUAGGUCCAGAGACUAAUCUUUAUUUCUGUUUGAUAUCGGCGAGCCGUUUAUUAAACUUGUCGAAUCGCCGUUUUCCACAAAAACUGCUGCAGUGAACUAUUUUGCAAGACAACUGUUUUGUUUCUAAAUCUUUAUAAAAAUACUUUAUGAAUCAAUCUUAAUCAUGUUUGUUGAGCUUUUAAAAGAUUAAUCAAUCUUAAUCAUGUUUGUUAUCAUCAAAAUCAAUAGGGAAUUAUUUAUGUUAACAAUCUCCCCCUUUUUUAUGAUGACAAACUUUUCAAGAAAAUACUUGUGUAAUUUUGCUCCCCCUAAGUGAGAUUUUGAAAGACUUGUUAACUUCCCUUAAAUAAGUGUUCAUUUAAUUUUAAUCUCAAACAAAAUUUUAAACAAGACAGACAGAUUGAUUGGAUAAAUAAUUUAUGCCAAUACCAAUUACCAAUUACCAAUUAUCUCCCCUUUCAUCAUAAAAAAAAAAUAAGCUUGAGGAAUGACUUAUGUUUGGAAAAAUUUUGGCAGAAUCUCCCCUGAAAUAUGAGCAUAUCCUCAACAAUACAUAGAGUUAAAAAGAAAAACACUUCUAUAUAAAUAUGCCACCAUAUCAACCAACCUCCAUACCAACAAUUAAACACUUCCAUAAUUAGUAAGACAAACAAUAUAGUACCAAAACCAACUCAACCAGAAAUCAGGUGCACAUGUCCAAUAAAAAAUGUCAUAAAAACAUCAUAAGCAUAAGCAAAAGACAAAUGACAUCAUAAGCAGAAACAAAAGACAUGCAAUGAGAAAUGUCUGUGCGAAGAUCAGAGGAGCAUAAAAACUAAGAUGGGGGCUGUGAAGAGGAGCUGCCGGGGUCAUAACCAAAGUAGCCGAGAAUACGACGCUGGCCCGCAAGUAACUCCAUCUGCUGAUCUGAAAUUUGUUCCCGAAAGGUUGCAAAAUCCGAUUGAAGUUGCUGCUGCUGCUGGGACAGAGCAUCCACUCUGUCGAGAAGCUAUUGAAAGCGAUCCUCAGGAACAGCCGAUGCUGUAGGAGGGACGGCAGUCUUGGCAGGCUCGUCAUCCUGAGAUGAAGCUGCUGCUGGUGCAGUAGGUGCUACUGGUGCUGCUGCUCUGCGAGGGACACGCGGUCUAGCCCCAAGGCGAAAAUCAGGUAACUCAUCCUCGGAGUAGACGUCAUUUAACAUACGAUCAUCCUCUGGUGCAAGCAGUGUGUCUUCGUUCUUAGAGGAUAUGGUCUUUUCUAAUUUCCCACGCUUCUUAAAGAAUCCGAUUGAAGAAAUAAUUUCUCGUCCGAGCUUACGUGUCUCGAGAUAAACAGGCUCGACGAUAGGAACUCGAAAGUGUUUCAAGAUCCUAGUAAUGAUGCUACCAUAAGGAAGGGAUCGGUUGGAGACUUUAGGAGUGGACAACAUAUGACACAGGAUAGUGUAUGAUAAACUCACAUGCCGUCUACGGAUGAGGGAAUCUAAUAGACCAAUAUCAAGUCUAGUUACCUCAUCAGUGUGACCCUGUCUAGGAGUGACCAUGUGUUGGAGAAUGAUAUGAAGUAUUCGAACCUGAAAAAGGAGAAGUUGAGACCUAAAGAACAAAGAACAGAUGUCAUCGAAAAGAUCCCGACAACGACAAAUGUUCCGUACACCAUCCACAUGAUGGAAUUCACUAAAUGAGAUUUCUUUCCUAGCGGUGUACAGAUCUAACCCUCCAUAAGAGAUUCCUAGAAUACUACACAAUUCGGAUUCAUUAAAGGCAAUGCGAAUUCCUCCUACAGAUGUAUAAAGCUCGACACGACGAGUAGAAGAGAAUUCUAUGUUUGAAUAAAAGACACGGACUAGAUUUUCAUAAAUCGGUUCUUCGAUACUUAAUGCUUGCUUCUAAUGACUAAGCAUUUGAGUAAUGGAAUGACCACAAAUAGUAAUAUCCGAAAACUCUGAAAUGUUAAGAGAAAAAGAGGGAGUUACGGGUUUACCCAUGAAUUUUUCACGAAAUUGUUGAGCAGAGGUGUCAUCGGAAAAAUGGAGACUCUCGAAGUCUUGAGGGGGAGACCUGGGGGGACUAGAACGUCGCGGAGCAGUGUGCUUGGUUCGAGCACGCCUUUGUGGUCGUUCCGCCAUGGAUGAGUUGGGAGGAAAAUAGAUUGGUGGAAAUGAAGUUUGAGAGAUGAGACAGUGAUUGUGGGUGGAAAUGUAGUUGGAAAAGGAAGAAAUUUGGGUCAAAUUGAACAAAUGAGGUUCGGCUGGUUCUAAGGUUUCAAGAUGAGAUUUUUCAAAUUUUGAAGAAAAAGAAGGAUUUUAAUCGGUUAAAAAGUGGUAGAGAUGAUAAAGAUGGUUUGUAAUGCUGCAAUUUGGUGAAAAAUGACAAGAAAAAUGAUGGAUUUGAGAGGGGAGAACGGGUGCAGUCGCGGGUUGGAGUGAGAGAGAAAGAGAGAGAGAAAACGAAAUGAGGAGGAAGACGAAGGACUGUUCAAUUAAUGCGUCAUAACGGUGAGCCGUUAUAGAGAAAACGGCGAGCCGACAGAGUCCAGAGAGUUCUCUAAAAAUUUUCAUCAUACCGGCGAGCCGUUUAUAGACAUAACGGCAAGCCGAUAAGGUCCAGAGUGUCCCCUCAAAAUUUUGUAUCAGGACGGCGAACCGAUAGUUAGUUAUCGGCGAACCGAUAGCGUCCAGAAUACUUCCCAUUGUUUCUACCCCAAAACGGUUAGCCGUUUAUUGAAAUAACGGCAAUAUGUUUUCUAUAACUUAUGAUUUCGCACAUUUAUUUUGAUAUUUCGCUACUAUUAAUACAUUUCAAGAUCAUUUUAUUGAUCCAAAAUGAUUUAAGUGCCAGUUCAAUGCAUAAUUCGUGAACAUAUAUAUGUAUUGUAACAAUUAAUUCAUACAUUUUCAAAUAUACAUACACACCACAUGUAUAUUACGAUUGAGCAUUUCAUAGAUAGUAAAGUAUCAAGUCAUAAAUCAAUCAAUGAUAAUAGACUCAAUAGCAUGAAUAAAGAUGUUAAUGUGAAAAUUUCAUCAUCCCAAGUUCAUGUCGAAUUUUUGAAAAUUGUUCUUCGCAAAGAGGUUUUGUAAAAAUAUCGGCAAGUUGUUUUUCCGUAGAAAUAAACUCUAAUGCAAUAUCUCUCUUUUGAACAUGAUCUCUCAAGAAAUGAUGUCUUAUUUCUAUAUGCUUGGUUAGAGAGUGUUGAAUGUGAUUCUUUGAAAGAUUUAUAUCACUAGUAUUAUCACACUUAAUAUGAAUUUAUUCUAGGUUAAUACCAUAGUCUUUAAGUGUUUGUUUCAUCCAAAGAGCUUGUGCACAAUAGCUUCCUGCAGCUAUAUAUUCAGCCUCGGUAGUUGAGAGUGCAACAGAAUUUUGUUUCUUUCUAAACCAUGAAACAAGUGAGUGACCUAGGAUAUGGCAAGUUCCACUAGUGCUUUUUCUAUCAACUUUAUAACCAGCAAAGUCCGCAUCUAAAUAGCAUGUUAAAUCUAUAUGAGUUCCUCUAGGAUACCAAAAGCCAAUAUCUAUGGUUCCACUCAAAUAACGAAAUUUUUUUUUAACAGCAAGCAAAUGAGAUUCUUGGGACAUGAUUGAAAUCUUGCACACAAACAUACACUAAACAUGAUAUCGGGUCUACUUGUAGUCAAAUAAAGUAAAGAUCCGAUCAUACCUCGAUACAUUUUGAUAUCCACUUCUUUGUCCUUUUCAUCUUUGUCGAGCUUGGUUGUUGUACUCAUUGGUGUAUUUUUGGUCUUUGAGUCGUCAAUGCCGAAUCGUUUGAGUAGAUCUCUUACAUACUUGGCUUGAUUUAUGAAUAUUCCUUCCUCAUUUUGUUUUAUUUGCAGCCCAAUGAAGUACUUUAGCUCUCCCAUCAUACUCAUUUCAAAUUCAUUGCUCAUACGAGACGAAAACUCUUUGUACAACAAUUCAUUAGUAGAACAAAAAAUAAUAUCAUCAACAUAAAUUUGAACAACAAGUCUGUCUUUGUUCUUAUGUUUAACAAAGAGAGUGGUAUCCGCUUUACCCAUGGAAAAAUCAUUUUCUAACAGGAAAUUUUUAAGCCUAUCGUACCAUGCUCUAGGUGCUUGUUUUAAUCCAUACAAAGCUUUAAACAACUUAUACACAUGAUUUGGAAAUUUUUCAUUUUCAAAACCAGGGGGUUGUUUUACAUACACUUCUUCCAUAAUAUAACCAUUUAAGAAAGCACUUUUCACAUCCAUUUGAAAUCAAAUGAAAUCUUUAUGACAAGCAAAUGCCAACAACAUUCUAAUUGAUUCUAGUCUAGCUACGGGUGCAAAAGUUUCAUUAAAAUCAAUUCAUUCUUCUUGGUUGUAACCUUGAGCCACUAAUCUAGCUUUAUUUCUUACAACCACACCGGAUUCAUCCAUCUUAUUUCUAAAUACCAUUUAGUACCUAUGACAGAUUGAUGUUCCGGUUUAGGAACUAAUUCUCACACAUUAUUUCUUUCAAAUUGAUUUAACUCCUCUUGUAUUGCCAUAAUCCAAGAUUCAUCAUUUUCCGCAUCCGCAAAGGAUUUGGAUUCAAUUUGAGAGAUAAAUGCAUUAUGCUCACAAGUAUUCUUAAGAGAUGAUAUAGUUGUAACACCUCGUGAGAGAUCUCCUAAAAUUACAUCUUUAUGAUGAGAAGAGACAUACCUCCACUCCUUGGGGAGUGUUUGAGAAAUACCUUCUUGUUGUUCUAGCUCCGUAUUUGUUUGUUCUUCUUGUCUAUCCUCUUGAUUUUCUUGUGGUGCAUUCUCUUGAUUCUCUUUUGAUGAUUCUUUUUGUAACUCUCCAUCAGCAUCAUCAUUAGCAACUCCUUUCUCCGCAGAGGAGGGGUUAGAUUCAUCAAACGUAACAUGUAUGGAUUCUUCCACAACUAAAGUUCUUUUAUUAUAAAUUCUAUAAACUUUGCUUGAGUUUGAAUACCCGAGAAAGAUGCCAACAUCAGAUUUUGGAUCAAAUUUACUAAGAUUAUCUUUUGUGUUUAAAAUAAAACAUUUGCAUCCAAAAACUUUGAAAUAACCAAUGUUGGGUUUUCUAUCUUUCCAAAGCUCAUAGGGAGUUUUAUUGAGAUGAGGUCUAAUCAACACCUGAUUUAAAACAUAGCAAGCGGUGUUGACGGCUUCGGCUAAAAAAUAUUUAGGUAAUGCAUUUUCAUUUAACAUGGUCCUAUCCAUUUCUUGAAUAGACCGAUUCUUUCUCUCAACAACUUCAUUUUGUUGUGGAGUCCUAGGUGAUGAAAAUUGAUGCUCAAUGCCAAGAUUAUUGCAAAAAUUCUCAAAUGUAUAAUUUUCAAAUUCUCCUCCAUGAUCACUCCUAAUUCAUAUAAUACCAUACCCUUUUUUCAUUUUGUAAUUUCUUAUAAAGUACUUUAAAAGCAUCAAGAGCAUCAUCCUUAUUGGAUAAGAAUAGUACCCAUGUAUAUCUAGAAUAAUCAUCCACUAUCACAAAUGCAUAAUAUUUGCCAUUUAGACUAGCAUAUCUAGAUGGCCCAAAUAGAUCUAUGUGAAGGAGUUCAAGUGGUUUUGAAGUAGAAAUAUGGUUUUUAUUUUUGAAAGAAGUUUUGAUUUGUUUUCCAAAUUGACAAGCUUCACAAAUCUUAUCCUUUUGAAAAAUAAUUUUCGGAAGACCUUUAACUAAAUCAUUUUUCGAAAUUUUUGAAAUCAAAUCCAUACUUGCAUGUCCUAACCUUCUAUGCCAUAGCCAACUAUCAUCAUGUAAUGCGGAAAAACAUUUAUCAAUAGUAGAUGCACAUUCUAUGUCAACGAUAUAAACAUUACCACAUCUAUUACCAAUAAAAAAAAUUUUGCCAUCACAUGAGUUCUCAAUAACACAACUAAAUUUAUCAAAGAUAAUUUUAUAACCUUUGUCACAUAAUUGACUAAUGCUAAUUAAGUUGUGUUUCAAGUUCUCAACCAAACAUACAUUCUCAAUUAGAGUUGAAGAGACUUUACCAACAUUUCCAAUUCCAAGAAUUUUUCAUUUUGAGUUGUCUCCAAAUGAUACGUCUCCACCAUCUUCAAUUUUGGUGAAGCUUGAGAACCAUGCAUAGUUUCCGGUCAUGUGCCUUGAACAACCGCUGUCCAAAUACCAUUUAUUUUUCUUCUUCUUUAAGCCCUACAAAGAAAAUCUUAAGUUUUAGGUACCCAAAACUUUUUGGGUCCUUGAGAGUUAGCAACGGUUCCUUUUGGAACCCAAAUACAUUUGACACCAUAAUAUGCAUUCCUUUUCACGGGAUAUCUAUAUUUCAUGUGACCAUUUUGAUUACAAUAAUGACAGACAAUCUUAUGAUCACUUAUGGAGGUAGCUUUAACAAAAUAAUUCUUAUAAUACUUUUGCUUCAAGUUAGGCUUAUAUCCAAGUCCUCCUUUAUCAAAAACACAUUUUUGUGAGUUAAGCAUAUUAUCCAACAUCUUUUGCCCAUUUGUAAAUUUCAAAACAAUUUUAUUCAACUCAUUGCUCUUUUUCUUGAGCAUUUCGUUUUCAUUUUUCAAAUCAUCUAUGUGUGAUUCUAAAUGCUCAUGUAAGAUACUAGGUUUCUCAUUUGAUAAUACAAUUUCAUUAUGCAAUGUUUUGUUCUCUACUUCUAGGCAUGCAAUUUUUGCAUUUAAAGAUUCAUUUUCAUUUUUAACUUUUGCCAUUUCCUUUUUAAGACAUACAUUCUUUUUACCAAUCUUCAUCAACUCAUUAUGCAAUUCUUUAAAAGCAUCAUACAAUUCAUCAUAGGUGGGAUCACUUACCUCAUUGAGAUUAUCAUCCUCUCCUAUUGCCAUAAGCGCUAGGUUUGAUACUUCUUGCAAUCCUUCGUCAUCACUUGAAUCUUCCUCGCUGUCAUCAUACGUUGCAACCAUGGCUUUCUUCUUGAGUUUGUUGAUAAGUGGGCACUCCGAUCUUAUAUGGCCAGACUUCUUGCACUCAUAGCAUGUGAUCAUCUCUUUCUUCUCCCUUUGGUUCUUGAAGUUUCUGAAUUUUCUUCGCUCUCCAGUUUUCUUAAAAAACUUUCUGAAUCUCCUUGCUAGCAUGACUAACUCUUCAUCAUCCGGUUCACUACCUCCAUCACUCUCAUAUUUUGAAGUUUUGAGAGCAAUGCUUUUCUUCUUCUCCUCAUCACAUUUUUCUGCUGCCAAGUCUUCUUCAUAUGAAAUAAGAGAACCAAUUAAAUCAUCAAGAGGUAAAGUAUUUAAAUUUUUGGCCUCUUCAAUGGCAGUUCUUUUAGGUCUCCAUUCUUUUGGAAGUGACCUAAUGAUUUUCUUAACUUUCUCAUUAUUUUAGAAGGUCUUCCCUGAGGCACCUAGAGUGUUCACUAUGUCCGUGAAUCUAGUAUACAUAUAAUACACAUUUUCAUUUUGUUCCAUUUGGAACAACUCAUAUUGACGAGUGUAUCUACUAAUUUUAGACUCUUUAACUUGAUUUGUCCCUUCAUAAACAACUUCAAGUUUAUUCCAUAUUUCUUGUGCACUUUCACAACUAGAUACUCUAUGGAAUUCUUUCUUAUCAAGGGCACAAAAUAAAGCAUUCAAAGCCUUGGAGUUUAGAGACAUUUUUCUCUUUUCUAACUCACUCCAUUGACUUGAUGGUUUAUGAAUAUCAUCUCCUACUUCAUCUUUAAACAUAGGCAUGAAUGGACCAUCAUAAACAACUUCCUAAAAUUCAUAAUCUAAGGCUUGCAAAUAGAUUCUCAUCCUAGUUUUCCAAUAAGCAUAGUCAUUACCAUCAAAGAACGGUGGUCUAGUUGUAGAUUGCCCUUCUCUAAAGGUUGAGUCAUUUAGGGUUGCCAUGGAUCUUUUGCUCUAGACGAUUAAGUCCUAACAAGAGAACAAGGCUCUGAUACCAAAUGAAAUACUAGUUAUGCAACCCAAGAGGGGGGUGAAUUGGAAUUCUAAAAAAUUAUUCAAUUUUUAAUUUAAAGCUUAAUGUAGAUAUGAAACAAAUUCAAAGCAAUAACAAAUAAGUUAACCACAAUAAAAAGGAUAAAGGAAGAGAGAUUCAAACACUGAGAUUUUUACGCGGUUCGGCCAACCUUGCCUACGUCCACGCCUCCAAGCUUUCCGAGCUUGAGGAUUCCACUAAGCAAGCCUCCAAGGCUUCAAAUGCUUACACUUGACUUCGAAGGUGUCAAUGACCUUUACAACAAGAGAUUAUCCCAAUCUCUUAACCCAAGUGUAUCCCAACACUUACAAUCACUCAAAGAUAAAAGAUUAAAAACUUGUUUUGCCUCUCACAAUAUUUAAGAUGACAAAAUAAUACCCAAUAUGUGAAUAGAUGAAGUAAGAAUGUAUUUAAAGCUUAAUGAAGAUUGUAUUAUCAAGUAUAAGCUCAGUAGUCGUGUUGUGAUUAAUCCUUGUUUAAGUUUGAAUGAGCUCAUUUAUAGCUGCAGCUGAAAACUAGCCAUUAUUGACUUUCUGCACACUGUCGGAUCGCCGUUAGCUAGAUGUCAGAUCGUCGUUUGACUGGUUAAUAUGACCGUUGGGCUAAUUUUUCAAAUUGUCGGAUUACCGUUAUCUAGAUGUCGGAUCACCGUUUAGGUCCAGAGGCUAACCUUCAGUUCUGUUUGAUCUCGGCGAGCCGUUUAUUAAACUUGUCGGAUCACCGUUUAGGUCCAGAGGCUAACCUUUAAUUCUGAUUGAUCUCGGCGAGCCGUUUAUCAAAAUUUUUGGUUCGCCGUUUAGGUCCAGAGACUAAUCUUUAUUUCUGUUUGGUAUCGGUGAGCCGUUUAUUAAACUUGUCGGAUCGCCGUUUUCCACAAAAACUGCUGCAUUGAACUAUUUUGCAAGACAAUUGUUUUGUAUGUAAAUCUUUAUAAAAAUACUUUAUGAAACUUGUCAAAAUAGAUGAAAAUUAUGUUGAGCUUUUAAAAGAUUAAUCAAUCUUAAUCAUGUUUGUUAUCAUCAAAAUCAAUAAGGAAUUAUUUAUGUUAACAAAUCACAUUGUGCCAGAAGCAAUACAAGCUCAAAGCAUAACAGCACGAAAAUUGCAAAGAGGGAAAAUCAAAGUGUAAUAGAGCAUAAAUUGUAAAGAGAAAAGCCGAGACUCACAAAUAUUCACAGUGGCAGCUGAAGUAUAUGCUGAUGAACACAGAACACAGCCGCGACGGAGUGAGAGAUCAGACGAGUGAUGCUGAUGAGUGAUGAAACGAACAAAGCCUCACCGUGAAGGUGAUGACAAGCCACGCCGCAAAGGAUCUGAUCUGAUCUGAAGAAGAGAUUACAUGAGAGUUGCAGAGAGAGUGAGAGAGAUUAAGUGACGAUGGAGGACUGAGGAAUGAGUCACGGCUCACGGGUGAGAGAGAUUGAGAGAGGAACAAAUUACGGAUGAGACUUGAGAGAUUGAGAGGAGAAAUUACAGAUUUACAGUAAUUGUUUUUAAGUUAAAAGAGAAAUUUCGAGAGAGGAUCAGAGGAACGAGAGAGAUCUAUGGUUCACUUUUGUUUUUUUUUUAAUUUUUCUAUUUAUAUUUACGGAUUUACGGAUCAAAAUUAAUAUUAAAAUAAAUAAUAUUCGAGUCUGGGUUCCGAAUUUGGGGGUUCACCUGAAGCUAGAUCCGGACCCGAAAAAUGCGGGUUGUCAAAAACUGAUCCGGAUUCGGAUAAAAACUAUUUCGGUGCGGGUCGAACCUGGACCAGAAUUUUUGGAUUCAAUCCGAGUCCGAUCCGGGUUCGGGUUUGGUUGCCAUCCCUAGUUGUACCUUACCACAACCCUUGUCUUUUAUCAAAUAGUUAAUGUAAAAUUUCAUUGAACCCUUUAUACUUUAUUUUAUUUAUAAUUAUUUUGUAAGUAUUGAAAAGAAAAAAUUAUCCUCAAAUUUUAUCUUCAAUAUAUUUUUUUCCCGUUUCUUCUUCUGCUCUCUCACUUUCUCUCUGUAAUGGGUUUAAUGAUGGCUUCAAUAUUGGUCAAGAUUGCUGACCGAUUUGUGGAUAAUUAGUUGUAGGUCAUUGAUUGUUUGUGUGAUGGUUCUCGUGGUGGAAAAUAUAGGCAUCAAAACAAAAUCCUCAAUUUGAUCUGAGAAGCCGAAGUGAGAGUGAGAGAAAGCGAAAUGGCGAUGGCAAGGUGAGCUCAAGCCUUGCUUAUCCAGAGUGAUUAUGUGUUGCAGCUUCAAAUUGUGGCUUCGAUGGAUCUCCGAUUUCCUCUGUCUGUCAUGGUGGGGUUGUGGUGCAGCUGACGUGAUGUUGUUUCGAGAGAGGAAAGAUAAGGCUGACAUGGGUCAAAGUUGUCGGUCGUGGUGCGACUGUGCUAUCUUGCCGACGUGGAGCAGUGUGGUGGCAACCGGUAACAGGUAGCUUCACAAUAUGGGUAUUUGGGUUGAGAGCAGACUGGAGAGAUGAAGCCAUAAUGGUUUCUUUUGAAUUUGAUUUUGGAUUGAUUUUGUUUGGAUGUCACGUGUGUGGGUAUUUGGGUUAUUUUCAUUUAGUGUUGGUUUUUUUUUAAUUAUAAGUUAUGAAUAGAUCGAUUUUGUAAUUAACCACUAGAAUCCCUACUCGUAUUGUUGAAAAUUUUGUUGAUGAUGAGUUUUUUUUUUUAAACCAACAAAUACUUCAAUUCCAUUCAAGAUGGAAACUCUACUCAGUAUCAGUAACUGGGCACAAAAUGGAAAAUCUCAAAAAAAAGGGAUAAGAUUUUAAUAUUCCACAAGCUAAAACAAAGGUACCAAAAUCAGUUGCAUAUCUUCUUUCAAAUCAUUAAUGACCCAAUUCCCAGGUAAUUCAGAGGUAGAAUAUCUACUUGCUGCGCUUGGCUGCACGCUUCCCUUGGCCUUUCUCGGGAGGUCCCUUUCCACAACGUUUCAACAUUUCAAGCUUGGGUAAGCGCUCUUGUUCUUGGCGGGCCAUGACGAGAACUUACCAUCAAUGAGCUUCUUCCACAAAAUCUUGUUGGGUGAUCUCUGGCCAGUGGGAUUAAGUACAUACCCAAAUAUCUUAGCCCUCACCUCAGUUAGCCUUGUGGUCACUAUUGUGGCCAAAAUGUUCUUAAGCCUCUCUCAUGUAGCCAUCAUCACUCGCAACUCUACCUGAUUAGCUCUGUUGAUAAUGAGUUAACUUUGUCAAUGAUCAGUGAUGAGAGAUGAGUUAAUCUUAAUUUCUACAAAAUUUUUUAAUGCUAAUCUAAGGAUAUUUUUGUCUUUUCAUUAAUAUUAAUGUGUUAUGAUUAUUAAUGUAGCGUGGUUGAAAAUAAAAACUCAUUUAAUACUUAUAAAUAAAUAAAUAAAUAAAGUGUAAGGUGAUAAAUUAAAUUUUGAUAAUGUAGGUAAGUAUAAAGUAUUAUAAUAUUUUAUGAUAAAUUAUAAAUAAAAUAGAGUGUAAGGGAUUCAAUGAAAUUUUACAUUAAUUAAUUCACAAAAGACAAAGACUGUGGUAAGGUACAACCGUGGCAACAUAGGCAGACCCUAAAAACAAAUCAUUAUUUUUUUUUUUGAAAGGAAACUUCCAUUAAAUCGAAGAGGAAAAUAGAUACAUCAAUUGUGAAGGGUAAGAACCCAUCCAAACAACAUUUUCACAUUUCUCUAAUGCUAACUUAGCUAGAAAGUGGGCAAUGACAUUACGAGAUCUAUGAGUAUAAUUAAUGCUAACUAGCUCAAAGUUCCUCAUUAAGUUUUGAAUCUCCGAAAUUAUCCAAAAGAUCUCAGACUUGCCGCCUUGCUUGUUGUUAACUAACUUGACUACGCUUUGAGCGUCUGAUUCAACAAUUAAAGCCUUUGCACUUGCAUUCCUAGCAAUCUGUAAUCCCCAUUCCAAGGCUUCUGCUUCAGCAAAGGAAACAUCUCCAUAAAAUUUCGAAAUCUUGAUUGCAGCUGCUAUGACAUUCCCCCGAUCAUCUCGGAUUAUAGCUCCCAGCCCUGCAAGAUGCUUUUCUGAGCUUGUAGCAGCAUCCACAUUGACUUUAACAGAUCCACUUUGGGGGGGAUUCCAAAUCUGCUGAGUCUGCACCUGCUGACUUUCCUUUCGAGCUUGCUCUGGUUUUUGAACUCUUUUGUAAGCCUCCAUUACUGCUUCAGCUUUAGCAACCAGAGUCUAGGGGUUCUCUCUUUUUCCUUUAAAAAGCAUCUCAUUUCUUGCAUUCCACACCAUCCAACAAAUCAUAACCAUUAGUUCUAAAUCAGCUUUGUUUCUUCUGCUGUACAUUUCAUGCAGCAAACUCAAAAAAUCCUGCCCAGCAGUUUGCAUGAUGUCAUUCUCUAAUAGAGUGAGUCUCCAUAUUUUCCUUGCAGCUUUACACUCUACCAAUGCAUGAAACACAUUCUCCACUCCGAGCUUGCAUACUUGGCAGGUAGGCUCUUGGAUAACUUUUCUCUUCCAUAAAUUUUCAGCAGAUGAGAGAAUAUUCUUGGCUGCCCUCCAAGCAAAAAUUCUGAUUUUCUCAGGUAAAGCAAGAGUCCAUAUGAUAUUCCAUUGAUUUUUUCCUGACAUUGAACUUGAAGGCAUGGCUGGAAGUUUAAGACUAAGGGCUGUUUGAUUGCCACUCUUGACCGAGUAGAGACCUUUCUUGUCAUAAUGACAGGUGAUUGUAUCUUCUUUUGGGCUUCAAGGCAAAGGGAUUUCAAUAAUUUUAUCAGCAUCCAUUCUAUUGAAAUGCCUGUAUAUCAGGCUCUCAUUCCACUGGUUUUCUUCAUUUAUCAGCUCAGCAACCAAUGUAUCUUCUGGCAAAGAUGGCCUAACUAUUGGCUUGAAGGUUGACAGCUUCAGGAUCCAGUUAUCUUUGUGAAUUUGGAUUUUUUGGCCAUCUCCAAUUCUCCACCUUGCACCAGAACUGAGAUUCUGUCUUCCUCAUAGGAUGCUUCUCCAUACAAAUGAUAGUGUGGACCCGAGCUUAGCCUUCAUGAAGUCUUUAUUUUGGAAAUACCUAGCUUGUAGAACCUUUGCCACUAAUGAAUCCGAGAAUUGUAAUAUCAUCCACCCUUGCUUAGCCACUAGAGCUUGGUUGAAACUUGAAAAGUCUCGGAAACCCAUGCCUCUUUUACAUUUGGCCUGACUCAGCUUCUCCCACUUCGACCAGUGGAUGCUUCUUUUGUCGCUCUUUGAUCCCCACUAAAAGUCAGCCACAGUUUUUUGGAUAUCAUUGCAAACACUCAUUGGGAUCUUGAAUACACUCAUGGCAUAGGCUGGAAUGGCUUGCGCUGCAGCUUUGAUUAAAACGUCUUUGCCCCCACAUGAGAAGAAUUUGUGCUGCCAGCUGGAGAUUUUGUUAAAGACUUUCAGUUUGAUGUCAUUAAAGAAGUUGCUCAUUUUUCUUCCUAUCAUAGCUGGUAAGUCUAGAUACUUCUCGUGCCUUGAGCCAAUAUUAAGCUGAAAAAUCUGUCCAAUUACAGUGGCUCGAUCAUGCUGGACAUUGCCACUCAGGAACAGAGAUGAUUUCUCAAAAUUAAAAAUUUGCCCGAAAGCUGCUGAGUAGCAAUCAAGUAUCUUUUUCAGGUUCCCACAAUCGGCCAUUGAAGCUCGGCUAAAUAUAAGGCUAUCAUCAACGAACAAGAGGUGGGAAAUGUUCAACUCCUUUCUAAAAGACAGCCCAUGGAUGAGUUUCUGUUGUUCGGCCUGCAGCAACAAAGAGGAAAAGACCUCUGCACAAGUAAUAAACAAGUAAGGGGACAGGGGGCACCCUUGCCGUAAACCUCUCUGGGGCUUUAUUAAUCCUCUGACCGAGCCAUUUAUAAUCAAAGAGAAAGAAACAUAGCUUAUACACUUCAUGACCAAGCAAAUCCAGUUUUGAGAAAACCUCAUACAUUUCAUAGUUUGCUCAAUAAAACUCCAUUCCAAUCUGUCGUAAGCCUUACUAACAUCAAGUUUCAAUGCCACUAACCCAUUUUUUCUCCCUUUGCAGUGCCUUAUUUUAUGUAAACAUUCAUAUCCUACAAUAACAUUGUCGGUUAUCAAUCUAUCAGGUAUAAAAGCACUUUGAAUUGGAGAGAUGAUUUGGUGCAGAAUUUGUUUGAAUCUGUUGGCAACUGACUUAGCCAUUAUCCUAUAGAUAACAUUGCAAAGGCUGAUAAGCCUAAAGUCUGUAACUUUUCUAGGUUUCCCCUUCUUAGGAAUCAUGGCUAUGUAAUUAUAAUUAAGGGGGGCUAGAGUACCUUGAUUGUUUAAGAUGUGAAGACAGGUAGUAAGAACUCCCUCUUUGACCUCAUUCCAGUGCUUUUGGUAAAAAGCUGUUGGUAGCCCAUCGGGCCCCGGUGCCUUGGUUGGGCACAUUUGAUUUAAGGCUUCAGUCACUUCCUCCGCUUUAAAAGGUUUCUCUAACGACUCAUUCAUGUCCUCGGAUACUCUCGGGGUGAUACCUUUUAGCGCUGCUUUCAUCUGGUUUUGACUUGGCUUGGUUGUUGUAAAUAGCUUUGUGAAAUAGUUGCAGAAUUCAGCCUCCACAUCUCUGGCUUUCUUUAACCAAUCCCCUGAGCUAUUUUCAAUCCCCCAAAUUCUGUUCUUUUUCUUUCUAUUCGACACUUUAUGAUGGAAGAACUUUGUGUUCUUGUCCCCUUCCUUGAGCCAAUCUGCUCUUGAGCGUUGCUUCUAGUAAAUCUCCUCAUCAAUGAUGAUAUUUAUAAUCUGAUUUUCCACCAUUUUAAUCUUUUCUCCAGAUUCGUACUGCACCCCUCUCUGCUUCCAUCCUUGAAGCUGCUUUUGUAACUGCUCUAGCUGUUUUUCCCUUCCUUUGAAUUCCCUCUUGCUCUAGUUUAGAAGUCUAGCCAUUGAUUCUUUAGCAAUCUUUCGAAACAAAUAAACUGGAUUGCCACUCUGCCAAUUGCUAUUCAAGCUCCAUUCCUCGUUAACUAUCUCCUUACAAGCCUCAUACGGACUCCACAUAUCCUCAUAAUGAAUUCGUGAGGAUUGUCUCCUACUCGCAGCCAUUUCCUCUCCCCUCUCUUGAACCAUCAUCAGCACUGGACAAUGGUCUGAGGUCCAUGUGUUCAGGUUGAUUACUGCAUCAUUGACAAAAAUAUCACACCAGGCUCUGUUGCAAACAAAACGGUCCAACCUUUCCUCUAUAAAUCUCUGUCCAAACCUCCCAUUACUCCAAGUAAAAGGGUAACCCUUAUACCCUACAUAUGCUAAUUCACAAUCUCUCAAAGCCUGCCUGAAGCUAUUAAUUAAGUUGACAUUUCUCUCAUUGCCUCCGCUCUUCUCAUGAGGAUGCAGAAUUUCAUUGAAGUCUUCGAAACAUAACCAAGGACUAGGAGACAAACCUACCAACCUUCUCAAAAGUGACCAUGUAUGUUGUUUCUGCCCCAUUUCCGGAUGCCCGUACACCCCUGUGCAUCACAUUUGCCUCCCAUUGGCCAUCUGAACUUCAGCAUCUAUGUGAUGCUUGCUGAACGAUUUAAUUUGUACACAAGUUUCUUCAUUCAAAGCAAAGAUAAACCCCCUCCCCUUCCACUACAGCUCACGGCAAAACAAUUAUCAAAUUUUAACUUUUUUCCAGUCACAUUCAUUUGCGUGGUUGACAGCUUGGUUUCACACAAAAAUACCAGUUGAUGACCAUGCAUAUGGAGGAUUUGUUUAAGUACUAGAAACGCUCGGGGAUUCCCCAAACCCCAAACGUUCCAUGAGAUGAUCUUCAUGGCUUUCGGCGGGGCUGGCUUCCAGCCUCCGCCGAUAUCUCUGCUAUGGUUGAAUCCAUGUCCACCAUAUUUUCCAACAUCAAUGGUUCCCAGCUCAAUUUAACUUUUGCCGCUGGAGAAUGGUGCCCCUGCUUCUUUGUUUCUGAUUUAAUUGGACUAGAGAGCUUUGCUUUCUUUUUCGGGCUUUGUCCCAUUGCCUCUCUACUUGUUCGUUUAUGAGCUCCCAGCCCCAUUUUGGAUUCUCUUCCAUUUGGCUCUCUAGCUCGUCUCUUCCAUUUUCUUUUUGUGGGCCUUGCUUGAGUAAUUUCCGGCCCAUUAUCUAUUUUAGCUUCCUCCAUUUCUUUCAAAUUUGUCUUGAACUUUUCCCUCUCUUUCUCCAUCCCAUCUCCUGCCAAUAUUCCCCCUUCUCUAGGAAUUAUUUCAUUGCUGAUAUUCCCACCUUGCUUUUUGCCGCCCAUUUGCUUUUCUUUCAUCGAUUCUACCACUCCUUUCAUUAAAUUCUGCUCACCUACUCCUUCCACCUCAUCAAUCUUGGUAGUCUCCAUGGUUUGACCCGUUUUUUCGCUUAUGGGUUCUGACCCACUUGUUCUAAUCGGGUUGUCCUGGCUUUGUUGUUGUUGUUGCCGGUGGAUUCUGUUAUGCUCUGAACUUUCUUAUUUUUCUUUUGAUCUACUCCCUUCAUAAUUCCAUCUCUCAUUGUUGCGAUUCUUCCUUGAACGACCUCCUACGAUAAUUGCUUUCAUCCACCCACCGUAUGGUAGUUGCUCUUUUUGCUGUCCCUGAAAUUUGGCACACUCUUUGUAUUGAUGCCCAAUGAUGCCACAACAAUAACAGAAAUCUAGUAGUCGCUCAUAGACCACUAGCAUUGGAAUGUCUGAUUCACCUUCUUGUUUAAGGAAGAGUAUUUUCUUCAACGGCAGUGUUAUAUUGAUUAAUACCCUUAUUCUCGCAAAUUCGCCAAGGCAUUCUCCAUUUUCAUCUGUCUCAAUCUCCUCCACUGCCCUAAUCAUUCCUCCCAAUUCUUGGAGCAAUUCUUUCUCCAUGCAUACAAUCGGGACGUUGCGAAUCUGUAUCCAAAAGGUUGUGUGGAUAAAGUAUUGCUUUGUCAGCUCCCCUAUUCCUUUUGGUUCAGUAAGAACAAUUAAUGCUCUAUCAAAAUGCCAAGGACCUCCUGUUAAUACUCUUUUUUUAUCCGCUUCUUCUGUAAAUUUAAACAUAAAGCAAUUGUUCCCUAAGCUUUCAAUUUUAACCUCUUUUACAGUUCGCCACACUUGCUGCAAUGCACUCUUAAAUCCCUCCUUGUUGACUGCUCUUGUGAGGAGGACUUUGCCCACUAAGCAUCUUGCCAACAUUUUCCCCCUUGUGGCUUUCAUGUUCACCUCUAGUGACAUAUUGGUUUUGUCUUCCUCUCUUAUAGUUAUUGCGUUGCAUUUACGGAUUAGCUCGUCUGUAUCCAUGGCACCACAGGCUACAUGAUAUGGAUACAAUAGUGCCCCAUGUAUGACCCCUUGCCUUCUCUGCUCUCCCCAACUCUGAUUAGUAUAAUACUCAAACAAUCACCGAGAAUAAGGAAACGCUAAAGCUAAAAGAAAAACUUAACCCUGAAAGCACUCACUUCGGAGUGACCAUUGAGUCAUUAAGACCCUUUAAAGCUUCCAUUCCAGCUUCUCUGUCAUAGAGAGAGCGUUUGAAAGAAUAUUGUGCAAUUUAGUAACAAAAACAAAUCAUUAUUGAGUGUGAACAGACUUAUUGAUCACCCAAUUUUCAAACUUGUCAUCCUUAUUGAAUAUGCAUUCCCUUUUAAAAAAUUUUAAAAAAGGUACAAAUAAUGAAACAAAGUUUUGUUCCUUCAACAGUUGAUAGAGUUACGCAGCUUCAACUUGCAAGUGCUGUCGGCAUUUUCAAACUUGUAAGACCCUUCAACUUGCUUUCCUAGAUAGCUAUAAUUAAUAAUGACAACAGUCUCCCUUAUAGUGGCUAGUGAGCAACUUGUUUCGUGAAAUUAACGGUAUCUUCUCUCACAUUUUUUAAAAAAUUGAAUUAUAUAACCCACCAAAACUAUAAAGAAUUGUUAGUUUUUCUUCAUUAAAAUUAAUAUAUUGCUCCUCAUAUUGCAAAAUCAAAAUUCAGAAUAAGAAUGAUUGAUACUGUUUAUUUAUUAAAAUGAAAAUAAAAUAUAUGAAGCCUACAUAUUUUUGAAAUUAGAAAACAAGAACUUUAUUUUCCAUGGGGAGUGUUGGGAAUCAAGUUCUCAUUAUUUAAACUCUCAAUUGUACCUCACCGAAAUUUCAUAAUUUCACUUUUGUUCGCAAUUAAAAUAUUAUUAUAGUUAUUAUUCUUAUUUUUAUAGUUGUUGUUGUUGAUGAUGAUGAUGAUGAUGAUGAUGAUACAAGAUAAUAAAAUUAAUGAUAAUUAAACCAAUUUGAAUUUAGAGUGAGUGAGUACUAGGGGUGUUCAGAAUCCAAUCCGAUUCGCUCAAUCCGUCCGAUCUGCUCAAUCUGAUUCGUAUAAAUCCAAUCCGUGGAUUGGUGGAUUGGAUAUGGAUUGAAAAUUUAAAAAUCCGCAGUCGAUGGAUUGGAUAUGGAUUUACUUAUGUAAAUCCGCAGAAACCGUGAAUCCGCAAAAUAUAUAUAUAUAUAUAUAUAAUUAAAAAAUUAUUAUAAAUUUAAUUUUAAAAAAAUUAUAAAUGUGACAUUACAUAGUUACAUAAGCACUAUAACAUAUCUUAGCCAUUACUCAAUAAUAAUAUAAAAUGAAAAAUAAUUAAAUAAUCAAAUAUACAAAUAUAACUUGUAAAAAUUAUAAAACAAAAUAAAAGUAAAGUCACACGCACUAGCAAAAGCAAAGUAACAUAACGCCAAGUCACCAACAAUUUACAAAGUCACUCAAAAGCAAAGUAACAUGACGUUAAGUCACCAAUAAUUUGCAAACAAAAAACCCUAAGCUUCCCCGCCGUCACACACACUAGCAACACUCAAUACUGGUUGGAUACACUCUCGACACGGAUUUGAAGGACAUCGGCCGCGCGAUUCCGGCGAGAGCAAUCCAAUUUCUUUCCCAAGUCCAUUGAGCCACUUCACAUUCACUGGUUCCAGCUGAAUAAUUUCACUAUCACAACCUUCAAGAUCGCCACCCGUACAGCUUCUCCUGGUUCCCAUCGUGGACGGCUCCGUAAUCACCACUUUUCGACAGGCGCAACAGCCCUGGUGAAGGAUCAGACUGUGUUUGGUUUCCGAAACUUCACCAUUUCAAUUAAUUGUGGCUCUAUUUGAACAAUUAAUUUCGGUGUUAUAUUAACGUAUUAUUGUAACUUUAUUUGAACAAUUAAAUUUGGUGUGUUAUAUUUUGAAACUUUGAACGUAUUAUUAUAGCUUUAUUUGAAUAAUUAGUCUCGAUGUGUUAUAUUUUCAAACUUUAAAUGUAUUAUUUUAGCUUUAUUUAAAUAAUUUAUUUAUUUAAAUUUUAUUCAAUUUUAAAUUUAAUUGGUAGCAAAAUUAUUUUUAUAUUAUAUAUUUUUUUAUUUCAUUAGUUGGAGAGAACUAAAAAUUUUUAAUUCGAAAACUAAUGCGCAAAAUGGUGGAUUGGAUAUGGAUUUAGUCAAAUCCGCAUUCGAUCCGCAGACGUAUGGAUUGGAUAUGGAUUAAGUCAAAUCCGCAUCCGAUCCGCAGAUGUAUGGAUUGGAUUUGGAUUGAAUUUUAUCAAUCUGUGGAUUGGAUUGGAUUGGAUUGGAUUGAAAAAUUAUAAUCCGCAAAAUCAUGGAUCGGAUAUGGAUUGAUGUCCAAUCCGUUAAAUCCGAUCCGCGAACACCCCUAGUGAGUACCAUGAGUUCGCAUCAUUUGAUAUCAAAUGAGCAUCAUUACUAACUAAUAUAGGUUCGAUCGAAUUCAUCAUACGAAGUAUAUUAUCGGCUGUAGGUAUGGAAAUAAUUUUGUAUCCACAAACACUAUUUUUCAAAAUAUUUUAAGACUUAACUUAGCAUUUUUUAACCAUACAUGUAUAGGUUGUUUGACCUAUUUUAAAUAAUGGAGAUUACAACAAAUGAACAGAUGUGGAUUAGUAGUGUUGUUGAGUUCAAAAGAUUGAAGUUAAGAAAAGGGUUUCUUGAUCCAGAGAAAAUUCAAAAGAGCGAAGUGUCUUCGAGAUCAGAAGACGAAAUAAGGAAAGGGUAAGGUUUAUACUUUCAAAAUGAAUAUGUUGACAGAUCUUUGAAGAUUAUUUUCAUUAACAGUUGGAUCCCACACUUGAGUCUUUGUAGUCUCAGUCAGUCAGCUAUAAAGAUAAAUUAAUUUUGAGCGUGAAAGGGCUCAAUUGAUCACCAAAUUUUCGAACUUAUGAUCCUUAUUGAAUCUGCAUUCCCAUUUGAAAAACAAAAAAAAGAUUAACAUUAAUUUAACUUCAUCUAGAUUCCCAUUUGAAUCUGCAUUCUCAUUCCGUUCUUUGGGAAUGCGCAUAAUCAAACAAAAUCAUGUCCGCAUUUUCAAACUUGUGACCCUUCAAGCUUUCUAUAACAGCUAUAAUGAAUAAUUACAACAGUGCUACGUAAUAGUGAGCAACUUGUUUGAUGAAAUUAACAGCUUCUGUUCUCUCAUGUAUUUUUAAAAAAUUGAAUUAUCAAAGUUUUUAUUUCAAAAUUAGUGCUAUAGUUCAUUAACUUUUCAAAUUUUCUUUUUUCUUUCCACACAACAAAUUGAUUUUCCCUCCAAAAAAUGUAUUAAAUUGUUUAAUAUUGUAACUUCAAAAACUUAUAAUGAAUUUUUAAAGAGAUAAAUAGAGAAUGUCAAUCUCCCAUCUACUCAAAAUUAAUAUAUAUCAUUAACUCCUGAUUAUUUUUAUAACAACUAAUAACUUUCUGGGUAGCAUAAUUUUACAGUAUCAUCCUUGUUUGUAAGUAUAUUUUUAUUCACAUUUAUUAUAAAUUAAUUAAAUCAUAUCAAUGAAAAUUGAAAUAAAAAUUGAAGUACUAAAAAAAAUGUUUUGGUGUGAAUAAAAAAUUGAAAAUAAAAAUAUUUUUCUUAUAUUUUUUAUUUUUAAAUGUUUUUCUUUUAAUAAAUAUAUAUUUUAUAUUCUCAAAUUGAAUUAUUGAGUAAAUGACUCAUUUAUUCACUUUUUCUUUUAAUUUUUGUUAUUAGGAGGAUUUUUAGAUAUAAUGAAAAUUGUAAGGUAGUAAGUAAUAUAUAAUAAUUUUAAUAGAGAAAAAUAAAAAAUCUGUUAUUUUAAAAUAUAAAGAGAAAAAUAAUUAAUUUCAAAACAUUUUAGAAGAUAUUUCAAUAUGCGGUGGACCACAAACUCGAGUCUUUGUCAUCUCAGUCAACUAAAAGGACAUAUGCUAUAAUGUCCCUCUUCCCUCACAUAUUAAACCAAUGUGAUCUCAGAGUGAGUUUGCAUCGAAGGAGUAUCCUUACUAACUAAUAUAGGCUCGAUCAAUAGAGAUGACAAUAAUUUUUUUUAUCUACGAACAUUAUUUUUUCAAAAUAUUAUAUCUUUAGACUUAACUAAAUAUUUUUUUCACCAUGUAUGUAUAGUUUGUUUGAUCUCUUUUAAAUAGUGGAGAUCACAACAAAACAAAUGCGAAUUAGUAGUGAUGGUGAGUUCAGAAGAUUGAAGUUAAGAAAAUUAAGGGUUUCUUGAUCCGGAGAAAUUUCAAAAGAAUGAAGCGUCUUCGAAAUCAAAAGACAAAAAUAAAGAAAGGGUAAUGGUGUAAUUUUGAAAGUGAAUUUAUUGAGAGAUCUUUGAAGAUUUACUUCCGUUAAGACUUAGAUCCCGCACUCCUAAGCCUUUGUCGGCCCAAUCACUCAACUGUAAAGACAUUUUCUUGUUGAGUGUGAACAGACAUAUUGAUCACUAAAUUUUCAAACUUGUGAUCCUCGUUGAAUCUGAUUCCCCUUUGAAAAAUUAAAAAAAAGUGCAAAUAAUGAAACAAAAUUUUGUUCCUUAACAGCAAGUGUUGUCGGCAUUUUCAGACUUGUAACAAGGGAAUGCGGUCCUCUCCUGAACCCGAAUCUCAUUCCCUGUGACAAGACCCUUGUUACCCUUCAACUCGCUUUCUAAGAUAGCUAUAAUUAAUCGUGACAACAUUACUCUCAGUGAGCAAAAGUUAACAGCAUCUUCUCCCCAUUUUUUAAAAAAUGUAUUAUAUAACCCACCAAAACUAUAAAGAGUCUUUUCUUAUUAAAAUUAAUAAAUUACUCUUUAUAUUAAAUAAUUAAAAUUAAAAUUAAAAUUUAAAAUGAAAAUGAUUUAUUUAUUAAAAUAUAAAUAAAAUAUAUAAAGUUCAUAUGUUUUUUAAAUUAAAAAAUAAGAACUUAAUUUCAUUCCUUAAAUUCUCAAAUUUACCUCACAAAAAUUUCGUAAGCUCACUUUUGUCCUUAAUUAAAAUAUGAUUAUGUUAUUAUUAUGGUUAUUAUUCUUAUUUUUGUAAUAGUUGAUGUUGUUGUUGAUGAUGAUGAUAAUACAUAUAAUAAAAUUAAUAAUAAUAAAAAUAAUAACUAUAAUUUUAACAACAGCAAUAAUAAUCAUUAAUAUUAUUGUUGUUGUUGUUGUUGUUCUUCUUCUUCUUCUUCUUCUUCUUCUUCUUCUUCUUCUUCUUCUUCUUCUUCUUCUUCUUCUUCUUCUUCUUCUUCUUCUUCUUCUUCUUCUUGUUAUUAUUAUUAUUAUUAUUAUUAUUAUUAUUACUAUCCUAUUAUAAUAAUAUUAUUAAAUAAUUAUUUUGAAUAAUAAUAAUCACAAUUAUUAUAACAAACGACAAAAAUCAACUAAAGUAAUUUUAAUAACUUGUAAGAAUUCAUUUUUAUUCAUGGAUAUGUGAUUAUUUGUUAAUGUAUGCAAUUAAUUGUGAUGGUAAACAAAGAAUAUAUGGUAUAUUUUCAAGUUAAAAAAGAAAAACAAAACAAAGUUUUUACCAUUUCUUGCCUUAUCAUCUUUUAAAUUAGAGUUAUUAUUCUUUUUAUUUUUCAAGUUGCCAACUCAUCCGCAUUCUCUUUUAUUGAAUUUGAAGAUCGAUGAUCAUAAAUUUGUGUAAAAAUUUUAAGUAAAAAUUUUAAAUUAAAAUAAUCUUUUAAGUUAUUGGGAAAUAAUAACUUAGUAUAACAAAUAUUAUAUCCUAUACUUUAUUGCUACAAAACUACAAAACCAUAUAUUAUAUUAUGUUUCCAUAUUUCUCUUUUAUAGUGAAGACUCAUACUUCUUCUCUACUAAAUGCUAAAGUAUUGGCUUAAACUUUUUAAUCAGCACAAUAGACCCUAAGCUAUAUAUGUUAUAAUGUCCCUCUUCGCUCACGGAUUAAACCAAUCAGUAGCCUUCUCUCAUAUAGAAAAACUUUUUGCAUAAGACAAAUUAUUAUGUUAUCGGAAAAAUUACAGUAGACGUAAGCUAUAUAUGUUAUAAUGUUCAGAAGAUUGAAGUUAAGAAAAUUAAGGAAAGGGUAAGGAUGUAUUUUCAAAGUGAAUUAUUAAGAGAUCUUUGAAGAUUACUUCCGUCAAGAGUUGGGUCCCAUAGUUUUACCUUUUGCUCGUUCACGUGAAAGUCAGUUUAGAAUUUUUAUCUUAUUUCACAAAGCUAAUUUUUUUUAUCACAAGCAGGAGAGAAACGGCAUUUCUUAGCAGUAGUUCAUCACUGUAGUAGCGAGCGAGUGAGGAACAAAAUUACCAACAAUUAUCAAAAAUAAUUAUACAAAAAAGAUCACAUGCUAUAAUUAAUCAUGACAAUUGACAACAUUACUCCCACCGAGCAAAAGUUAACAGCAUCUUCUCCCACAUUUUUUUAAAAAAAAUUGUAUUAUAUAACCCACCAAAAGUAUAAGGAGUCUUUCCUUAUUAAAAUUAAUAAAUUACUCUUUAUACAGAGAAAUUAAAAUUUAAAAUGAGAAUGAUUGAUGAUGUUCAUUUAUUAAAAUAAAAAUAAAAUUUAUGAAGUCUAUAUAUUUUUAGAAUUAAAGAAUAACAACUUAAUUUUUUAGGGGGAGUGUUGAAAAUCAAAUUCUUAUUCCUUAAAUUCUCAAUUUUACCUUAAAAAAAUUAUAAGUUCACUUUUAUCCUUAAUUAAAAUAUUAUUAUGAUUAUUAUUCUUAUUUUUGUAACAGUUGCAGUUGUUGUUGUUGAUGAUGAUGAUAAUAGUUGAUAAUAAAAUUAAUAAUAAUAAUGAAAAUAAUAACUAUAAUUUUAACAGCUACAAUAAUAAUCAUUAAUAUUAUCGUUGUUGUUGUUGUUGUUAUUAUUAUUAUUAUUAUUAUUAUUAUUAUUAUUAUUAUUAUUAUUUUAAAUAAUAAUAAUCACAAUUAUUAUAACAAACAACGACAAUAAUUAACUAAUGUCAUUUUACUAACUUAUAACAAUUCAUUUUUUUAUUCCAAGACAAACUAACCAUAUCAAUAAUAAUACAGGUCAUUUCAAUUCUAAUUCUUACAGGUAAAGUAAAUAAUUUAUUCUGAUUCUCAUUUUUCAUUUUGAUUUUAUUCUAUUCCGAUUCCAUUUGAUUCUGAUUCCAGCCAAUUCUAAUUACCGAUUAGAAAAUGCAUUGUUACUACUUUAACAAUAACUAAUGAUUCUCCUCACAAUUCUUAUAGGGUUAUCCUUAUUUUAAAAUAUUUUUUAUUCGUAUUUAUUAUUAAUUAAUUAAAUUAUAUCAAUGAAAAUCAAAUAAAAAUUUAAGUAAUAAAAAUGAGAAAAUAUAUGUUUCGGUUUGAAUAAAAAAUUAUAAUAAAAUAUUUUUCUUACAUAUUUUAAAUAUUUUUAUUAUAAUAAAUAUUUUUUUUAUUCUCAAAAUAAAUUAUCAAGUAAACGAUUCAUUAACUCAUUUUUUUCCUUUAAAUUUUUGUUAUUAAGAAGAUUUUUGGGUAUUGACCGUGAAGGGCUCAACUGAUCGCUAAUUUUGCAGCAAUUGCCUUUUCUUUUUCUUUUUUUUAAUUGUUUUGAAAAAAUAUCCAGACUCAUUCUGCAAAGUAUCUGAGGCCAAAGCGCCGAAAGUUAGCAGUUAGUACACCCACAUGUGCUUUUCUUUACAAAAUCUAAAGUUAGCGUGGGUGUCUAUAACUUAAAUUUAAUAUAAUUUAUAAUUAGUAAAAUUCUUUGAUUGACCCAUUAAAUUUUAUUAUUCUAUUACUUAUUUUUAUAUUAAAAAUUUAGUAAUGUAGAAAAAUUCUUAAAAGUUAGAGCGCUGCUAUUCACCCCGAUUUUUAACCCCGAAAAGCGCCCCGAAUUUAAAACGCACCGUUUUGAUUAAAUUGAAAACGGUGCGUUUAACCCAUGUUUCUUCCUUUCCUUUCUUUUGCCAAACCACAGAAACGGACCUUUGCUUCCUUUUCGUUUAAUCCUAUCAUCUUGUGGUCACUGCCGCUGCUGCUUUCUUCAAGACCGAGCUCUCUGCCGCUGCUGCUUCCUUCAAAACCUAACGGCCCGUCCGCAGAGCCCAAUUCAAAGCCGUUCGAUCAAUCGACGAUCCGACACCGAGGCCCAUCAACUGGCGCGUCUGCCUCAGCUUCUUCUUCGUCCUCUCCGGCGUACACGGAAGAGCAAAUCGCGAUCGUGAGACAAAUUAAGAAACGAAAGAUUAUUGCGUGCGUUGAUGGCUCUGAUGGGUUUAAUUUACGUGCGUUGAUUCAGUUGUUGCUUGUGAUUUUGAUAAUUCUCUUGCAGUUUUUGCGUCUUCUAAUCCAAUUUAUGCCAUGUCGAGGUCUUACCCUUAUGAGUACAAGUUUACAACAGAAAGAGGGGUGAAUUUUUAUAUGAAGUCUAGCAAAUUUGAGUAGGACUAUCCGGUGGGUAGUGUUCAGAGAGUAAGGCUCGAAAAGCAAGUUGAAAAGGAUUACUUUACUAUUCUUGCACAGAAUUGCCGGUUAGAGAUUCAACGGCAGCAGUGGGGUUUUAUAAAGGAGACUCCCCAUUGUGACAUGUGGCAGACGUUUCAAUAUUCACCAGCUUGGUAAAUCUGACAAUAAUUUUGUAGUAAUCUACAUAAAGGUUGCUUGAUUGUGCUGCUAUGAUAUUCAUUAUUCAGAUAGGAGUAGCAAUCGUGUUACUGAAAUCUGGUUCAAUGAAACAAGCUGAAGCAAAACUGAAGUAAUUUUCUCCCACAUUCAAUUAAUGCAUCUUCAAAUCUUUCAUAAAGUUGAUCAUUUCCUCGGGAAAUGGAACAUUGCUCUUGUGUAAUGAAGUUUUAAGCAUUGCUGUAAAUGGUUUGUAUAUGAGAAAUUAUUUGUUUUAAUGCCAUAAUUUAUGUGCUGAUUGAUCUUUGAAGAAAUUUUGAGCGCGAUUAACUGUCUCUAGGGUCUGUUGUUGCCCAUGAUGCUCCAACAGCUGGAUGUCUAAUUAUGCAUUAUGAACCUUAACUAUCAGUUUCUAGAGCUGAUGUUCAACUAGCUAUUUGAUGAUGUUUUAGGAAGAUGUAUUUUGGCUGUUUGAGUUUCUAGAGCUGAUGUUAUGUUAGAAAUUAUAUUUAUUUUAAUUGUUGCUGCAGCAACAUAAAUAUAAACUGUUGAUUAACUUGAAUAUCCCAUUUGGAACCAAACAAUGACAAAAAUAAAAUAAUACAUCAAAACACAAGUUAGCAGAUGUUGAUUAACUUGAUACAAAUGCUCACGGUUGAGUAAUUUUAGAUACAAAUACUGAUGGUUCAGCUUACAAAUUAAAAUGAAACAACUCAAGAUUUAUAAAUUUAAAAUCAAACUGCUCAUGAUUCAGCUUACAAUCAUUAAAUAUAGGAACAAUAAUAUACAAACAAAUACUUACGGGUUUUGCAAUGUAGGAAUUCAGCACUCUAACUUUCACGAAUAAGUUGGCGUUUUGCAGUUUGGAAGCUCUGUACUUGGAGUUUUUACAUUUGCAGUUUACAGUUUGCAGUUUCAGUCUGCAAAGCGGAGUGUUGUGGUUCAAGCUUGUGCAAAUAGAAGAAGAAAGAAAAUGUUCACGUGCUGCACGGGUGGAACUAAAUGGGAAAGCAAUCAAAGCAAAAAAGCAAAAAAGCAAAAAAGCAAAGAAGCAAUCAACGCAAAAGGAAAACAGUCAAAGCAAAAAAGAAAUCAAAGCAAAACGCACCGUUUUGACAAUAUUUGGGGUACGGUUUCGGGGUUUAAAAUCGGGGUAAGUAGCUUGCUCUUUCCCUAAAAGUUAAGGAAAAUGAUGUUUGCCCCGGGUCAAACCCCGAAAAUGAAACGCACCGUUUUUAUUAACCCGCAAAACGCACCGUUUUGCCAAGCCCAUUUUCUUUAUCGAUUAAGUGCAGCACAGCCAUUCGAAGUCCUCAAUCCACAAUCAGUAAUAAAUUAUGAUUCUUUUCAAAUCGGAAGGGAGCCCUCCAGAAGGUCAAUUCCAUGAUAUAAUUAGAUGGAUGGAAGAUAUGACAAAGCGGCAAAAAAAUGUGGAGAAGGAAUCAGUUGCAGCUCUACUUUGGGUGAUAUGGAACGCUAGGAAUAAGUGGCUUUUUGAAGGGAAACAAGAGGCUCCAGCCAGAUUAGUAGCAAGAGCUGAAUCAGUUGUGGAGUCUUUUAAAAAUGCCAGCCAGUAUGAUGGGUUAAGGCCAAAUCAGAAAAGGGAGGGUAAGGAAAACCACAGGCAUUCUCUUCCAAAUGGGUGGCUAAAGGUAAAUGUAGAUGCUGCAGUGAACGUUGAGAAACAUGUAGCUGGGCUGGGGGUGGUAAUAACAGACGGGAACCAAAAUUGUAUAAUUGCUGCCAUUAACACUUCUAGAUACUUUGGCAACGUGGCAAUGGCCGAAGCUGCAGCUGUGAAAUGGGGAUUGCAGGUUGCUUUGAGAGUGGGGGGAACCUCUGUGUUGCUUGAAUCGGACUGUCAUGAAGUAGUAGAGAUUAUAAAUAACAGAGACAGUAGUAUGAUGGAAAUCUUUUGGGUGAUCUCUGAAAUUCUGGAAAUUAAGAAGAGUUUUCAGAAUUUCAAGGCUCAACACACACAUAGAUCUUGAGGGGUUUUGCAGUUGGGGUUAUGUAGUUGGGUUGUGUGGUGAAGUGAAAAAUCGAAAGCGAAAGAUGAUUUUUCUGUUUCUUUAUUACAGGAGAAAGAUGAGUUUGAUAAAGAGCUGGAAUGCUCAAGCAAAACGACGUUGUUUUAAGAAAAAUUGAAACGACCCAAAAAACUAAUAAAACGGCGUCGUUUUAUUAAAGCUUCGGGGCUUGACCCGGGGUUUGACCCGGGGCAUCUAUCAGCGCCCAAAAGUUAAUGGAGAAGGAAAAGAAAAAGAAAAAGUGUAAAUGAACUGUAUUCACCUAAGUUUCAAACAUGUGGUUCAAUCUGAAUUUGCUUUUUUCAAAAGUAAAUACAAAAGAAAAUAUAAAGAAAAAGAAAUUAAACGAGACAAAAAUUUGUGGCGUGGGUCAUUCAUAUCUUUUGCCAUUUCUUUUGUAGAGGUACAUAGGGUAGAUAUUUUGAAGUGAAAAGCAGAGCUUUUAUUGUUAUUUGCCUUAUCAUCUUUUAAAAUUAGAGUUAUUAUUCUUUUAUUUUUAAGUAGCCAACGGAUGGUAGCCAACUCAUCCGUGUUCUCUAUUAUUGAAUUUAAAGAUCAAUAAUUUAUGUUAAUAAAUAUUUUGUUAACUAUCAAAGUUUUUAUUUCAAAAUUACUGUUAUAAUUCAUUAAAAUUUCAAUUUUUCCUUUUUCUAUUCACACAACAGAUUGAUUUGCCCUCCAAAAAAAUGUAUUAGAUCGUUUAAUAUUGUAACAUCAAGAAACUUAUAAUAAAUUUUUAAAGAGAUAAAUAGAGAAUGUCAGUCUCGCAUCUACUUAAAAUUAAUAAAUAUACCACUAACUCCUUAUUAUUUUUAUAAUAACUAAUAACUUUCUUAACAAUAUAUUUUUAUAGUAUUAUCCUUGUUUGUAAGUACAUUUUUAUUCAUAUUUAUUAUAAAUUAAUUAAAUCAUAUCAAUAAAAAUUAAAAUAACACAAUAUGUUUUGGAGUGAAUAAAAGAUUGAAAAUAAAAAUAUUUUUCUUAUAUUUUUUGUUAUUUUUAAAUGUUUUUCUUAUAAUAAAUGUACAUUUUAUAUUCUUAAGAUGAAUUUUGAGUAAAUGACUCAUUUACUCACUUUUUCUUUAAAUUUUUUUGUUACUAGGAGGAUUUUUAGAUAUAAUGAAAAUUGUAAGGUAGUAAGUAAUAUGGCCAAAACUACAUUGCGUCAGGGGUUUGGUGCCCCACUCGUUUGUCUGUUAGCAAGGUCAGCGUUGGAUUUGAUCUGACGGCUGCAGAAGAGACACAAAUAUAAAGGGUAGUAACCUGAGGCAAAGGUAACAAGCCAGUCACCUGCAGAAAAUAAGUGUAUGAUAAAAUAACACAUGCAAUGAAUUUUGUAUUUUUUUUUUUUAGAAGACACAUGUAAUGAACUUGCUGGAAGCGUACAUGCAAGUAAUGGUUGGAAACAACCUACUGAAACCGUGCAAGUAUUGGUUGGGCUAAGAUUGACAUGAAAUUUCCCAAAUAGUGUCCGAAACAUUUGCAAAUAGUUAAUUCAAAGCGUCAAUAAAUGCUGGAAAAAAUACAUAUUUUUUAUUUUUUUUAUUAAGAAUACAUUUUUUUUGAUAAAAAAAUAAAUUAUUAAUGGUACAUAGCAACAAAUAUACCCAAAACAAUUAUCCAUAUAUUUGAAAAACAUUUGUUAACAAUACAUAUUUUUAGUAGUACACAUAUUAUAACAUAAACAAAUUGAGUUGUAUCAUGGACAGCCAUAAACUAUGAACAAAGAUUACGAUCUAAACUCCACAUGCAUGUUUAAUUUGUAGAUUCCAUUUUUUUCAUAAUGUGUUUCCCACCAUGGGAUAACAAGGGUUAUUCAGGCAAAACACUACGGCAAUUCAUUAUCAUAGACAGGAAAAAGACAAUGGCAAAGAUCAAUGAUUUAACACACAAGAAUGAGUGAAUAACAACAGCAAGUGAGAACCAUGCAGAAUCCUUUUUAUUAGAGAUCCUUUCUUAAAUCUUAAAUAAGAACAUUAAAUAAGCUUGAAAAAUAUUGGUAACUGGCCCAAUACACAUCCAUCUAACGGAAAACAGCGGACAGUUUGACGCAUGUGUGGAGCACUUGAGGAAACAGAGCAUCCACGGAAUGCCUAAAUUUGAAAAAAAAAAAAAUUGCAUUUGACGAAAAGGACUUUGAGCGUUCAAAUACAAAGUGUCGAUUAACCUUACAAGAUACAUCAACCAUCACAUAUGCUCAACAUGCAAUACCAAAUUAAAUUACCCAUCUCCAGGGUUGGAUUUGUCUUCAAUCAGAUGAAUGCUGGAGAGAAUAUAAUUGAAAGAAUGGCAUCAUCUACCAUGCAAGCUAAGGCUCCUUACAGAUGCUCAACAUGACACCACAAAAGAAAAUACAAUAUCAAAGACACAUCACCAACAUAUAUGCAAACUACCAAUUCUCACAGCAUGCAGUGCAACAACUCAUAAAAUAUGAAAUUUAACAUCAUCUAAGCAUUUUCUCAAGCUUAUUUCUCAUUAAAGAACUUAACUGAAAGUAGUAAACAUAGAGACAUAUAACAGCUUUAUAAGUACAGACCACAAAGUAGAACUUUGUUCGAAUGAUAAUGAUCAUAAUCCACAUUAUAAACGCAGUGAAAUCAUCAAAUGAAAUAAGAACACAGUACACAAUUACACAAAUAUUAGGCUUAAUUAAUUAUUUAGAUUAAAACACCAACUCACACAACUUCCUUGUUGGAAUCUUCUCAUAUCCCAUCUUCUUAGGGCUCAGAUCAUCAUCGUGAUCAUCAACAUCAGUGAAUUCCUCAUACGAAUUGCGAGAAUCGUGACGAUUAGCAAAGAGGCUCCACACCAAAUACAUGGUAACGGCAGUAAGCGAAUCACACCCAACGCCGAAAAGCAAAGCGACUGGUCCGGUCGCAUAGAGAGGAGAAGUCGUGCUCGAAGGGCAAAACACGACGUUUUGGCUCAUGGAUGAGGUGCUGCUCCCGAUCAUCGAUUGAAGGGAGAAUUGGACAAUCGAAGAAGAUUAAGGGACGGUGGGGACUGAAUUGGCGAAUUUCGGUGAAGAUUGUGACGAAUCCAACGGGGUUCUCGGAGUUUGGGUUAGGGUUACGGGGAUUGAAAUGGAUCGAGUAAGAGGAAAUGAAGAGGGUUUUGCAUGGCCUUCCGGAGGCUGAAAUUGAGAGGACACCAUGAAUAUUGUGAGAGCUAAGAGGAGAUGCUGAGUCGAUGACGCCAUUGAUUCGUACCACAUAGCUUCGAUUGGAAAUGAAGCCUCUAAUAGCUUUAGCCGGUUACCCAUUUUUCAAGUGUUAAAUCUCAACCGUUGACUGCCUUUCUUUAUGAUUUCAAGGGUCAUUCACAAAAGGACAAAGGUCAAUAUGCGGUGGACCACACCCUUGAGUUUUCCUCGUCGUCUCAGUCAACUAAAAGGACAAAAUAUUGAGUCUUUAAGGACUCAACUGAUUGUUAAUUUCACAGCAAUUACCUUUUUUCUUUCUUUUUUUUCUAAUUAUUUUGAAAUGGUAGGUAGCAAUUGCUUACAUCAAAAUAUCUAAACUCACUCGGCAAAGUAUCCGAGGCCAAAAUGCCAAAAGAUGGGACACCCACAUGUGCAUCUAAUUACAAAGUCUAAAGUUAAUGAAAAGAAAAAGAAAAAGAAAAAGUAUAAAUGAACGGUAUUCACCUCACUUUCAAACAUCUAGUUCAACAUGAAUUUCCUUUUACCAAAAGUAAAUUUCCUCUCGAAUUGUCCUCAUUACAUCAAACGAAUGAUGACGACGCUCUGUCCGUUUCUGGCUCUCUGCUUUUCUCUCUCACAUCACGAGACACCUCGUUUCUAACUGGGGUACCACCAUCAUAUUUAACUGUUAGGUCUUCCUACUAUGCACCUGAUGUAUGCAUGAUUCCUUAUGACAUGACAUACAGCCAAUUAAAUUCUGACAUGUUUGCAAUAAAGACUGUUAAACCGGUUGAAUUCACAAGAUCUCUUGUUUGUGUGUUUAUGUUCCAAGUUGUGUACUCUGUGUUAUGAGUUCUCUAAUUAGUCUGAUAUUAUCGCAACUGUUGCUCAAUAAUGUUAUAGGUUUUAUAAUAUAUGUCACCGGUACGAUCGCUGUCUCAAGUGGUAAACUUUGAGGCACAAAUUUAGAACGAAAAGUUCCUAAUAAAAUAAAUUAUUUAAUUAAUUAAAUAAGAAUAAAAUGAAUUUGUGAAAAAAAUUUAAAUUUAAUUUUGAAUUAUUUUGACCAAAAUUUAAGUUUUUUUUUAAUUUGUUUAAGAAAAUGCGUUGUAAUUGUCUUGUUUUAAUUGGAAAAUCAAUGAAAAAAUUAUGUAAAAGAAAAAAAAAAAAAAGCAAAACGGUUUGUUUUGGAUGGAGGCCAUAGAUUCCAAUAUUUCCUUCACGAAAACUACAAAAAAUUAUCAAAGGCAUCAAUUUCUACACUCUCACGGAGCAAUACUCUUAACCCAGAAGAAAGUGUAUAAACCAACCCCAAUUAGUCCAUCAAUGUCGUCAACCUCAUACAGCAUAAAAAAAAUCUGUGUCCAUUAAACCGCCAUUUAAACCGUCUUGAUUGAGCCAUUAGACUAUUCGUGUCAUCUUCCCAUCUCGUUGUAGUAUUUUGCCGUUCAAAUCUAGCUAUCAAUUGGGGAAAAUGGGGACCAAUCUGCAAGUCUUUAAAAUAGAAAGAAACUUUUAUUGGGCACUAUGUUCACGGUGGACCCAGCAGCAUUAAUAUUUAAGAUGGAGUUAUUUGUAUUUUAAAAAUUAUUUUAAACAUUCUAAUUUUAAUAAGAAUAUAUAUUAUAAAAAUAUUUAUCAUAUAAGUUAUUGGACAAUAUAUUAUAAGUCAACAUUAUAUAAUUACUUUGAACACUUAUAUAGCACAAUCCUAAUUCAAUUUAUUAUUCUCAUGACUUAAAUAUAAAAAUUUUUAUUUCCAACAUCUUAAUUAAUAUGUAGAUGAAUAAUAAGGAAAUUAACUUUGAGAAAAAAUUAAAUACAAAAUAUGUGUAAAGCUUUUAAAAAAUAAAAUAAAACAAAAGUAUUGCACAAGAUUUUGGGGGGGGGGGGGGGGGGGGGUUUGGCCAUUCUUCUUCUCCUCCUCUCUCUCUCUUUUGUUUGGGUAGUAUUUAUGGAACAUUUUCUAUUGUUAUGUUCUCAUCGCAAGUUAUUUUAGGUGUAAAAUUCAAUAUUGAAAAUAAAUUAAAUAAAAAAAUAGUAACUAAAAUUAUGUUAAAUUAUUUUUUUAUAAAUUAAUUUUUAAUUAUAUUAUUGUGAGUAUAUGCUAAAUCUCUUAAAAAUAGAGUGUUGAAUAAUUUUAUUAGUUUUUUAAAUAAAUAAAGUUAAGUAACUUAAAAAGUUUAAGUAAGGAUAUUUUUAAAUUUUAAACAGUAUACAAAGUAAAAUUUAAUUUUUUUAUAAUUAAGCUAUGAGCGUGCAAAGUAAUAUUUAGAAUACUAAUAAUCCUACCUUAAUCUUUAUCAUCACAUUAUUUUCCAUAAAAAGUUUACAAUUACCUCUUUAUUGGAUAAUUUUGUUCCCUCUCUUACCUUAUGUUCCCUUACAUUCUCAUUUCUGCAUCACCAUUUAAAUUAUAAUCAUAACGUUAAUCUUUAUCUAUCACAUAUUUUGCCAAAUUUAUUCGCACCGCAAAGCUCUUUCCUUUUUUUUUCCCCGUUAAGUUUGCUAUAAUGUACGUGAAGAAUUUAAAGAGAUCUUUCGUGUCCUUACCCUUUUUUUCGGGUGCACUUUUGCUGCUUUUUUACGUUUCUCCAGAAUUCACUUCAACAUGACUGGCGCAUUUUCUUCUUUCUCGCUGCAACAUCAACUAGGCCACCACCUCUUGCCUCUCCCGGUUCCCCUCAAUUUUCGUAUUCAAUGUCCACCGUUGAUUGUACAUUUAUUAAAAUUCUGUGGUUAUUAUUUUUUUGCAUAUAUUUAAUUCCACACGGUCUAUCGAUAGAGCAGGUGCAUCGUAGUUGUGGCCUUAACCCUGUUAUUGGUAACUCAAUAGCUAAUUCUAAUGUUUCAUCAAGCAGUUUAGAGAUAACCUCUCUCGCUGAACACCCUGGAGUAACGCAAUCCAGUUUUCCAGUGCAAUCAUCAGACAGUUGAACAGCUUCUGAAUUCCCUUUGCUUUUCUUGUUUUCUUUUCCAUGAAAAGGGAGCUCAGGCUUCAAUAUAUCUGGGGAUUGAGUACUAAUGAUAAAGACAACAUACGGUAGAGGACACAAAUUGUUAUCAAAGAAUGAUGCACUUUUCAACUGAGUACAGUAAAGCAGUACAGUAAAGCGAGAAUGGGUAAUUAGUUUUACCUGCUAAGCGAAAAUCUAGACUCCUGAAGGUAACCGAUCUUGGGUGAAGCAAAUAAAGAAGAAGGCGAAGUAAAAUUCACUGAGUUGAAUGAGCGAUCAUUGCGUAUGGACUUGAUUUGUUCAAUGGGUGAAAGACCGCUGAUAUAAUUAAAGACUGGAGAAUCCUGUACGUUGACAAGCAUCAUUUUUAAUCGAACAGAGAGUCUUAAAAACCUUGUCAGUGGCAAAUGAUCACGACAAGAAAUCUGAAGUAGAAACAGCAUAGCUCAACAAAUCACUAAGAGAAUAAGACCAAUAACCAAGCAGAUAAAAGAAAAGCAAAAUAACCCAUCUCAAAAUCACCACAUGCACAAUUUAAGGGGUUUGUGACAUGGGUUUAAACAUGAUUUAACAAGUGCCACCUGUGAAUUGUCAGAGAUUGUAUUUUCAUACACGUGUCAAAUUUUCAAAUCCAACAAAUUGUUAUCUUUCUAAAGAGGCUAAUAUUAUUAUUAUCUAUGCAUAGCAUGCUAUAAACAAUUCAUAUUACUAGGGCCUUUGUUUUCUGUGCACAACAUAUGGACAGAGGAACAAAUCCCUGAGCUAAAAUCAUCAUAUUCCAAAAUAUUCUAUUAAAUCAACACCACAAAACGCGAACGCUAAACAGAAUUGGAGCAAUUUACCAAAGCUAUUUGUCACGCAAAGCACUAGUACCUCAGAACCCAAUUUGCAAAAAAGCACCAAAAAUGAAAAAUAACAAAUGCCCAGAUGAAAAAUCAGGAAAAAAAAAUGCUCAAAUCCAAAUUACAACCCCAUAAGUUGAGUCGUUCUCUUCGAACUGAAUUAAAAAAGAUUAAAAAAAUAAAAUAGGGAGAUUGACCUCAAACUUUGGAAACAGAAGCGACAGCGAUCUGUUUCUUGUCUGGAGUGUCCAUUUCUAUAAUCUACUUUGUCCGUUUUCAGUCGCUCUGCUACAGAGCUUCUUCCCUCUGAAGCUGAAGCUCACACACUCUGCAAAACGAAAGCAUUUCUUUUUGAUUGAGAGGCGGGAAGGCGGGAAAAUGAGAGAAAUUUGCAUUUGUUUUCUCUUGGUUUGGUCAUACCUGUGCGGGCCCCAGCUUGACAAGCGGUAUUUUUACUAUUUGUAUAAUUUGCAUGACGCGUGUCACGCAAUGACGAUAAAAUAUAUAUAUAUAUAUAUAUAUUGUUAAUUUUUCACUUAACAUUGAAAUAUCAUAUAAUUUUUCCAAUUUUAUGGUUAUUUUCUCGCCCUUAUGCCACAUUCUUUUGAUCAAAUAAUACAGUAAAACUUUUCUAUAAUCGUAAUAUUAGAGCCAAAUUAACUUUGUUUCUGUAAAGAGGCUAUAGCUUAAUAAAGGUAAAAUUAUAAAAAUUAUUAUUUUGACUCAGUUAUCUUUAGUGCAAGUGAUAUAAAGUACAAAUAUAUGAUAAUUAAUUAAUGAACUAUGUCAAAUACAAUAUGCUGACAAUUAGGGGUGGGCAAAAUCGGGUUCGGGUCGGGUUCGGGUCAACCCGAUCGGGUUUCGGGUUGUUCGGGUUAGACAAGGAGCAAUCCGAACAUAACCCGAAUUAAUGAUCCGACCCGAACCGACCCGAACUAUCUUCGGGUCGGUUCGGGUCGGGUCAUUAAUUCGGGUUAUGUUCGGGUUGGAUUUAAAAUGGGUAGGAUUGAGUUCGGGUCAAUUUGGGUCAGUUCGGGUCAAUUCGGGUCGGUUGAAAUCGGGUCAGUUCGGGUCAAUUCGGGUCAGUUCGGGUCAGUUCGGGUCAAUUCGGGUCGGUUGAAAUCAGGUCAGUUCGGGUCAAUUCGGGUCAGUACGUUUUUUUUUUUUUUUUUUUUUAAGAACCCGAUCGGGUAUUCGGAUCGGGUCGGGUUUGACCCGAACCGAUCACAACCCGAUCGGGUUUGUAAAUUUCAAACCGAUCGGGUUUCGAUCCCGACCCGAUCCGACCCGAACCCGAAAUUUAUCGGGUCUGGUUGGGUCGGGUCGGGUCGGGUCGGAUCGGGUAAAAUGCCCACCCCUACUGACAAUGAUAAAAAAGAUAGAUAAUUUCAAGAAACUAAUGCAUAUAUUUAUGUAGUGUUGGGAUUAUACAAAAUUAUCUUAAAAGUGUAAAGAGUAAAGUAAUAUUCUGAUUAAUUUAAAAAAAAUUAUUUUAUCUUAAUCUUUAAUGCAACAUAGCUUUUUUUUUUUUUUUCUUAGCAACAAAGCAUUGUUCCAAAUAAUUAUUAUUGGAUUCAAAUCAUGUCCUAGGCAUUUUUUCUUCUAGUCGUCUUAAACUUUUAAGGAUUUAUUGGCAUGUGUCAAUCAUUAAUGAAAUUAAAUAACUAAGACUUUGUUUUAAUUAACGUUUACAUAAAUAGACAUCAAAACUCACGUGUGAUUCUUAUCAAAUUUUUUCCUGCAAAUUCUUUUCCUCUCAACUAUUCAUAUUUUGACAUUAAUUUCCAGCAAAUUAUUAAAAAAAAGAAGCGUAAAAUGGAGAAAAGUGAUUGACAACAAGGUUUGCAUCUUAAUUUCAAAAUUUCCCUUUCUUUGCUAUUUUUGUGGGUUCUACAAUUGUUGUUUUCACUCUCAGACAUGGCAAGUCCUUUGACAAAUGUUUCCCCGUUAGCAGAUUUAUCAUAAUGCAUCUCUCUGCAUCCCCACCUAAGAUGGAACCUGUUCUCACAAGAACAGACUCCAAGGUUGGGAAAAUCAAUUGAUCAUCGGAGAAAACAAACAGGAUUAACAAAUCACUACAAUGGUGUGAACCCGUAUAUACAAACGUACCUGCCCCCUUUGUCUGUGAUAUAUUUUCUUAUUGGCCCACUCAAAUAAACAUCCGGAGAAUCCUUGAGCAUCUGCAAUAGGGAAGCCUCGGUCUUAGUUGCAAACAGUGCAAAUAUAGUAUGCAUACAACGAGCAAUGAUGUUAUCACAAUCAAUAAACCCAAGGGCAAACGCAACAGGAUCUUACAUUCUUUGGAUACUCAUCCAUGUACCACCCUUGGACAAAAACCAAUCAGAGAAGCUUAUCUGUAAGAAGAAAUGAAGUUUGAGGUAAAAUAAAAAUUUGUAGGAACAGGGAUUGAAAUUCAACAAACAAGAAAAUAUGUUGUUUGUUGAAAUUCAACAAACAACAAACAAGGCUCCAUCAGGAUCAAGAAGUGCCUUUACAACAGGACUCACCGCAAGAGCAAUAGCAUUUCUUGAUUUAUCAUAAGUCUGCACUUGAGCAAUAUACGAGGCAAAGUACAUCAAAAGAGAAUCCAAAAGAGGCAAGAAGCUUCAACAUGAAAAAAGGGAGUACUGCCUCGUCAUACUGCUUUGCAAUCACAGUGCAAAAGAUAACAUCAACAAAAUCAAAAUCGAGCAUAAAUCUGUAUGCACUACCUUAAGCUGAUUUGUAGACAAAAAUGCACGAAUCCCAUGUAAUGGAGCUCCAAUCGGAAACCGGAAAUCAAGUUCUGGAGUUGAAAAUCAAAAUCAUGAAUCAAAUCAGAGUUAUUAUUGAAUUAGACAAUCCAUAAACCAAUAGAAGGUGAUGUCAAACCAUCAAGCAUAACUAUUAGUUGUUUUAAGUGAUCAAGAAAUAACUAUACCACCAAUUUCCCCACCCUUAUUUACAAAUUUAUGAGUAUGAUCCUUCAUGAGUAAAUUUUCGUCCGCACCGACCUGUCGACAUCCAUGAAAAACUAUCAGAUCAUAAACACAGGUUCCAGUUAAAGAGGAUCUAUGAUUCUGAUCCAUCAUGUUAUUUGAACAACAUUUUCGGAUUUUCUUACAACCCUAAGCUAUUAUCAGUUAUCAUCGCUACAAAUGAUAUGGUCAAGAGGAAUGAUAGUUCUUGUUUCAAGAAUCUCAAAUCGUAAUUCUUUUGCAUGGCUUCUGUGCUUUUAUAAUCAUUCAAACACGCAUAUCCACAACUAAGCAAGCUUUACCUUUUUUGUCAAUCGGAACAGAUUAUUGUAGCAUCCAAAGAAAACGUGCAGGCUGAUUUCAAUAUGGUUUCCACGUUUACGGACAAAUGAAGCCACUUUACCACCAAUAAAAGACCUCAACUCAUAUAUAUCCACCUGGAAGAAAGGAAAAGUUAAAAAAAAAGGAAUAAAAAUUCUUCUAAUUUCUUUCACCAUCAACAAAAUCAGAAAAACACAUACUAAUUCAAAAUGAAAUAAAGUUUGUGAAUUGAAAUAAUGCCAACUCCUAAGAAAAAUUAUGACUGCUGAUAUUUUUUCCAAAAUGCUGAUAAAAGCUUCUGCUAUUUACUUUGAAAAAAUUGAGGUUAGAAGCCUAUUUACUUGAAAUUUUGAGUUUAGGCAAGAGGAUGAAUGGUAAAAGUGAAACAUUUUAGGGAAAAAUGUACGUCAGAGGCCAAUGAAAGCAUUCAGAAGAUUGAAAUCUAAAUGAGCAAAACCCCGUGGCCUUGAUCCAACAAAUCCACUGCUGUUGACAUGCCUGCAAGCCCAGCUCCAAUAAUAGCGACUUUCAGCUUUGGUCCUCUAUAAUGUUCCGGUUCUGGUAGAAACAAACCCUUGGGAGCUGCCAAGUAUACCAUCCAAUUAUCCACAGCGAUCAUGGAAAUAUAUAUGUGUUUAAAGGUACUAAAUUCCUAAACAUGAAAUGUAUCCAAAGAGAGACACAAAGCAGAAUUGUGAAAGCAUUUCAAUUCCCAAUAAAUUUUAAGAAUACAAAAUACUCGGUCUGUUCCUCAAUUCCUUUAAUAAAAUUUCCACUAGAGGCUACGGAAGCCACUCAAUAACACUCCAAAGCCAGAUUUUAAACGUUAUCUUUAUCUUUAACUCCAAUCCAUAAACAAUUCUGCCACAAAUUCAAUCCAAAAUUGUUCAAGUGCACCGCCAAUUCUCCGUCAAUUCCCUCAAAAAUUCAUAAUUGGCAAACACUACAAACCAAAAAGAGCUUCCAGCAAUAAACGCAUAAAAAUCCACCAAGCAACAGAAAACAAAAUACCCAGAAACCAGAAAAGCCAAAAGAUCAAUGCUUGGCAAACAAGCAAAUCAAAUAAAACAAAAAGAAGAGGAAUUUACCCUUAACGCUCAUAUCAGAAACAUUAGUGUCCAAAGAAGCCCGUACACGGAAUCUUGGACCCUUCACUUGAACCCGAGACCAUGUAACGCCAGUAACUGAAGUUGCAGGAAACAGAACUGGAGAACCCAUAUUGCAAAUCCUGAGCUGAAAUCAAAGAAAUUCAAUUGGAACUCAAUUCAGCUCAACCGAGCGGAGCUCUCUUUUGCUUCAAUAACAAAGUGUUUUUCUUUCAUAUCAACAAAGAUUUGUCAACAUCAACAAAAUUUAACUAAGAAACUAAAAUAAUGCGGUAUCUUUGAGUUUAAGAAUCUAACAAGAUGCUAAGGAAGAGAGUUUUGUCAGGGAACUGUUUCGGAGAGGUUGGCCAAGUGCUUCUUUGUUAUUUUUUUUUUUUCUUUUUUUGCCCUUUUCAUUAAUACACAACAGUAGUACUCGCGAAGAGCACAAAAUGUUGGUGACUUUGUCACUAAGGAUACGAAAGUGGAGUGACCAGAGCAACCAACUAAAUUUUCUUUGGGUGAUUAAUUAAUUUAUUAUCAAAUAAUUUUAUUUAUUUAUUUAAACGACAUCCUUAUCUUUGUACAAGGCUGAUGAAAGACGACGAUGUUGCGUUGUCACAUAUUUUUGGGCCGACCGUUUCUUGUUUCGGCUUAAAUGAGGCUUUUGUAAUUUUGUGCUGUUUUUUUACUGAGUAUUUUGUGCUAAAUUACGCCAAAGAAAAAGUGUAAUUGUUAAAAGAUCUGCUGACACUCAUAACCUCUUAAGCGGAAUUUAUAAUGUGACAGUAUUGAUAUCUAAGUUCAUAAUAUCUAUAGGAGUGAUAAAACGAAUAAAUGAAUCGAACCGUAAAUGAAUUUAGUCAAAAUUUAAUGGAUUCGAAUUCGAUGUAUUAUCAAGCGAAUCAUAAUUUAAUAUUCAAAUUCAAUUCAUUUAUUAAAUGGAUAUCCAUUUAAUUCGUUUAUUGUAAAAAAUUUAAACAAAUUGAAUUAAAUUUGGAUUCGUUUACAAUUUGUUUAAUUUAUUUAUGCAAAAUUAAUAAUAAAUCAAUCAAAUGUGGAUUUGUUUAAAUAAUAAUAAUAAUAAUUAAUAACAAAAAUAAAGUAAAAUAAAAUAUAAAAAAUCAUAAAAUUAACAACCUACAAAAUACAAACGAAUUAGUGACCCCAAACUCGGAUUCGAUUCAUUUAUUAAUGAAUUGAAUUGAAUUCACCUAUUUGUUAAUGAAUUAUUUUUUUUUAAAUUCAGACCUAUUUAAUUUGAAUCUAAUAAACAAAUCCUAACCUAAAUUGCCACCUCUAAAUAUGAUGGACCUACUUAAAAUAUAUGAAUACCAAAAUGUGUGGGCUAAAAAGUGGUUUACCAUGCAGCAAUAUGAAUUUUAAGCUCUCUUUUCUUAUGUCACCCAAGGCAUUGGCUGGAUGGCCAAACAGCAGAGUUCAAGUCUACAAUAGAGAAUCGAAAUUUUCCUUUGUAAAUGUUCAUAAGUAUUUGCCAUAGAUUUUUAAGUUAUUCUUGAUAGAUCCCCUACCACAUACGCUAUAAUAUUUCUCUGCUUUUAAUUUAAAAAGUAAAUCAUGCAUAAUAACGGACUUGUAAGGAAAUGAAAUUUCUGGUAAUUAACUAACAAAAUAAAAAAAAGAUGGAUUAUGCCAAAGAAGUUAAUAUAGAGUAAGUCGAGUACUUGACAAUCAAAGUAAUUUUACUCGAGGUUGAUUAAGGAUAGUAUGAUACUUUCUCAAGUUUUAUGAGGACAUUCAUGUAACAUUGGACUAUUGACUAUAGUUAGAGAGAAGUCCAAGGAUGUAAGUGAUGAUGAUAGAUUCACAAUUCUUUUGAAGAAAAUAUUUUAUAUAAACUUAAUUAUAUGGUAUAAAAUGAUUGGCCUUAAUAAAAUUAAAAAAUAAUACACGCCUGGGUCAUGCAAUAUUUUCAACCAACUAAUUUACACGCAAAAUUAAACCUCAUGAGUGAGAACAUUAUGGUACAUUUAUUUGCUAGCAAAAUUAAACCUUAUGAGUGAGAACAUUAUCACGGCACAAAAUGCCUGUGAUAAUGAAACAAUGUGCCAUUCUUAAACUAAUAUUAUUAGAAACUAUAAGUGAAAGUUUUCAGAAAACAUGUGAUAAGUUUUUCUCGGAAUUUAUUUUCUCCUUUGUUUUGAUUUACGCGAGAGAUAAUUGUAAAGAUUGUUUUGAUAAGUUUUCAGAAAACAUGUGACGAAUCGUAGUAAAAAAAAUAUAUAUAAUAAUUGAAUGAGAUCCACGGUUCACAAUUGCAAAUUAAAGGUUGGUUUUAUAAUAAAAUCGUUUUGUGCAUACCAAAUUAGAAAAGAUUAUAAGUAAAUUAAGAUUUUCAAAAUUUGACUAGUAUUAUAUUACGUACAUCAAUAUAAUAUAAAUUUCUUAUAUAUAUAUUUUACUCUGUAACCAAUGCUUUCAAAAACUUUGUACUUGUAUGUUUGAACAACUUUUUUCGCUUUCUAUUUAUAUACGAUCUCAUUUAUGUUUACAUAAAUUUUCAUAUGUACCCAAAUUAAGCACUAAAUAAACACACUUUGGUAAGACACAUUAAUUUCUAGUAUCAGACAAUGAUAUUAUAUUGAAUGUAAUGCUUCCAUGAAUUUUAUUACUAUAUACUAAAAUACUCAACGAUCUCCAUUAAAAAAAAAUAUGCAUGAUUAGAAUUAUUAAAGAUCAUUUGAUGAGGAGUUUCAUCAUUAACUGUGUCGAAACACAGCAGCAAUCCACAAUACACUUAACACGAGAGGGGCACACAAGCAUGCAUGAAUCUUCCACCAUUAAACCUGAAAUCGCAAAUAAAAGAAACAAGAUGAGUGUUGUUUUACGGUCUGAAAGCCGAUUCCAAAUAAUAAUAAUAAUAAUAGUAAUAGUAAUAGACCUUUGUUAAUAAUUACUACUAGUUGUCUCUGCCUUUUACAUCUUCCUCCUCUGUAUCAUCGCCCUCUUCCAAUCACACGGCUAGACCAGUAUGUCUCGAGAAUCUCUACUGCCUUCUCAGAGAUCCCGUUGUCGUCAUGACUUCGUAGAUUUUCAAUCUUUUCUAAUCCCUCAGCCUCCUCAACCAACUGGGCAUAUUGAUUAAAAUCUCCAACGGCGGUACCCGUAUUCAUUUCAGCUACCCCGACCUUCAAAAUGUCCUCUAAUCCUUCUAAGCAAACAGUGACGAUCUUUGGAUCAGCGCAUAGAAGCAGAUCACACAAUGGUUUUACACACCCCUCUCUCACAAGGUGCUUGAUUUGCUCAUGAGUGCCAAACUUGGUGGCAUUUGAAAUUGCCCAAGCGGCCUCCUUCUUUGCAUCAAAUUCAGCAUUUUGAAGUAGAUUGACAAUGGGACCAAUUAAGCCGGAAUCAAUUACCGCCUGAAUCUGCUCCCCGUUUCCAGCUGUAAUAUUUGAAAUAGUCCGGCAUGCAUCCUUCUUAAGGCUCUCUUCAUGAUCAUGGAUCAACAGGCCCAAAAAGUAUGGCAGUGGAUCACAGUUAAUUAUAUACUGAGUCUGGAAAUCAUCUCCCAUCACAAUAUUUCCAACAGUCCGCAGGGCAGGGGCAAGCACUGAGGAUGAUGGAUGGCCAAGGAGCUCAACAAGUCGUGGACAGACACCUGCCUCGAUCACAGCUUGAAUUUUGUCAUUCGUACCAUCAGAAAGAUAGGAGAGUGUCCAACAGGCGUCACUCAACACCUCUUCAUCAUCUAAAUGAAUAAGCUGUGCAAGUGCCGGAAGAGCUGCCCUUACCUGAUCAAAUGGUGGUCCUGGCUUGCCCUUGCAUAAAUUAUACAAUGUCCUUGCGGCAAUUCUCAGCAUUGAAAGCUUGGCAUGCUCAUUUAACUCUGCCAGCAAUGGAAUCAAAGCUCCUUCACUAAGCACAAGAUCACGGCAUCCAGAUGAGUCACCAGCAACAUUUCCCAAUGCCCAAACAGCCUGCUCGCGGACAUCAUCACUUGGGGAAGCAAGCAGCUUCACAAAUAUUGGAACGGCACCGUGGUCAAUCACCACCUUAAUGUUCUCUGAAGUUCCAGAAGCAAUGUUUGAAAGAGCCCAAGCAGCCUCAUACUGAAGUUGCGGAUAGUCUUCCCUCAUAAGAAACUCAACAAAGCGCUGGACAACGCCAGAUUGUAUGACUUUAUCAAUUUGUGGACUCCUCGCAAUCGAAAGCAGUUUGCUGAACUGAGUAGUUGCUUCCAGCUGUAGGCCGCUGUCAUCUGACCAAACCCCAGCAACCAUCCCGGGUAAACUCGCCUACUUAUUUAUUUUAGGAGCAGGAGCAAGAGGAGGAAAUUAAGUUAGGGAUUUGGAGUGAGAGUGAAAGUGGAGAAAAAGCAAGAGAGGGAAAAAGCUGAUUGUUGAGAAAUAUAUACCUUUCGUAUGGUUGUGUUAAGGUCGUCCUUCCAAGCCCAACAUGCUUUACCCCGCCCCUGCACUUUGUGUAAUUUGGGCGUACUUAAUUUUCCUUCAGAGAAAAUCUUCAUAUCGGGGCAAUCAUCCACCACUAAUCUUUCCAAAGAUGGGAACUUGAAAGCACAAUUGCCAGAGCAGAAGCUUGUUAGUCCUUGUAAGCCUAAAAGCUUCAACUUCUUCAAUUCUCUGAAAGUAAUAACCUCAUCUUUUGCUACAACAUCAUCCACCAGUACUAUUUCUGUUAUCCUAUCGCAUGAUUGUAUCUCCAUAUAUCUAAGUCGCACCAGAGUCUUUGCAAUUGAGGAUGUUAAUACGAUUUUCAAUCGUUUACAACACGAUACCACCAGAUUUGUAAGAUUCUGAAAGGAUGUCGACGGUGGCACUAGAUCGACCAAAUGGUCACACCACUUUACAUGUAGAAUAACCAAGUUGUUCGUAACAGAGGACUCCUGUAUCAAAAUGUGCUCCAGAUGAUAACAAUCAUUUGCUUCUCUCACAUUAACCCCCAUCCCAUUUUCAACCUUCUCUUUCGGCAACCAAGUAUAAGAUCCUCCUCCUAUUUGCAGGACUUUCAUUGUGUGAAGUCUCUGGAGGAAGUCACCAAGUGAUAAAAUAGUCCGCUCAUCAACCAACUCCACGUAAAGAUAUUUUAGUUUGCAAAGCAAGUCUUCAGAAAAUAGAUAUUUAUUUGUUCCUAUGUACUUUGCAUCAACUUUCAACUCUUCCAACAUAGGGAAUACCUGGGAGAUCGAUCAGAACCCAAAAAAGAAAAAAAAUAAAUACAAGAUGAAUCAGUUGAUGAGAAUUAUAAGUUACCACUAAUUUAUAAAAUAUAUUUUAUUCAAUAAAUCUUAACCUUUAAAAAAAUUAGUAAUAAUAGUACGCCUAACAUCUAGAAUAAUUAUGAAUGAAUACUAUACACUAAUCUGUAAGAGAGUUACGUUGCUGACAAUUUGAGUUUUAGUAAGAAACCAAGCGAUGAAGGCAAAGGCAAUAUAACUCUAAACUCUAUGAUAUAAACUCUCACAGUACAUACAUAAGAAUUGAAAAAUUGAUUAUAAAAUUCUUGUACGUACCCUUUCCGUGAAGAUACUAGUAGUUCUUUUGUAUCUCAUCAUGAAUUCAGGACAAUGGAAUAUCCUUAAUUCUUUCAAGGAUGGAAAUUCAAGAAUAUCAAGAUCUCCAGUGCAGAAGCUUGUGAACUUUUUAAGAUCAUACAUCUUCAGAUAUUGCAACUGGGGAAACGUUACAAUAUUAUUCUUCAUUUCUUCUUGGUUGUCCACGACUAUUAACUCUUCCAGGACAGGACAUACACUUAUAUCAAUGCGUUGGAGUCGAACAAAGCUACUAACGGUAGAAGAUGAAAAUAGACAUCUUAAAUUCAUACAGCCGAACAGGGUCAAGUGCGUUAAAUUCUGAAUACCACAAGACUUGACUGUAACUUGGUUCAGCCAAAUCCUCUCAACAUUUAUUGAACCCAACGUCAACUUCUCUAACUCUGGUAAUCGAACCUGCUCGAUCAAAAAAUCAACUCGUUAAUUACAAGCAACAAUGAUUUCUGUUGAUGGACAAAUCAAUAAAAUUACUCUUUCUCUGUUUAUAGUUCUUUUCAGUUUUUCAUACAAACAACCGUUAAUCAAGUUUUCCAAAUUAUUCCUUACUAAAUGUAUAGAUUUAGAGGGCGGCUAAUAUAAUUCAUAUUGCAAAUAUUCUUUGAUUGUAACGAAUUUUGUAAUAUUAAAUUUUGUUUGAUUCGCAAUAGGACCUACCAUCCAGCGCGAGCAGUUCUCGGGGAUUUAACUACUGGCACCUCGAUUAUAUAAAAAUUUGGAAUAUUUUCAAAGGAAAUCAAAUAAUUCCCCCUUGCCAAUAGUAAUUAUCAUUAAUUGCCGCGGGUUCACAUAUAAUUCUAAGAAAUUAGGCGAGAAGAGUCUCAUCAACAAUCAAUCAGCAGAUAUCACGUUCGGCAGAUCAUCAUGAUUUCCUCAGAUGCUAGAGAAUCAACGUGAUUUCCGCUCAUGCAGGAGUGGACACAUUAUCUUAGAGCAUCCCUUACUGAGAUCUUUUAAAAAAUUUAUAUUAUAAAGUGAACAACAUAUUUAGUAUAGAUUUAGACGGCGGCUAGUAUAAUUUAUCUGUAUUCUAAUGACGUAUAUUAAAGAAAAUGACUAACCAUAAUUUCAAUCAACUUAUUAGUCUAUAUAUAUAUAUAUAUAUAUAAAAUAUUCAGUGAUUACAACAUAUUUAGUAUUCCAUAACAUGAUGUUUAUAAUAAUAAUUAUUAUUAAUUCACUUAUUGUGUCAAGAACCUUUUCUUUCUCUAAGAAUGAAUUUGUUACACCCUACUAUACUACGGAUGAAAAAUUUAGAAUCAUUGUGAAAUGUGAUUAUUAAUCACUCUUUGCCAUAUUUGCUACCAAACAAGAAUGCAACAAAGAAAAAAAAAACAAAAAUUAUAGAGCAUUAAUAAGACCAUUGACUUAUCAAUAACUGACCUUCUCAGCGAAAAGUGUAUUAGAAAUUUGGACAUUGUCCUCCAAAAUGAUUUCAUGUGACCGCAAAUUAUUUGUUGAUUCCUCCUGUCUCUGCUAACAUUGCAGGUGUAUUGAUUUUAGAGUGUAAGCUUAAUUGUGAGCACAACCUUAAUGCAUAGAUACAAGAUCUUUAAAAAUUAGUACAAUAAACUUAGCACUAAAUCUAAAUUUGAUAUUUUGGAUUCCAUGAUUAAGAUUUUUUUUAAAUGAAAAUUUAAUAGGGUUAAUUUAAAAAUAAAAAUUAAAUAUGAAAAAUUAGACUUGCAAUUAUGGAUUUAAUUUUGAUAAAUAAUGAAUGUUCUCUUAAUAUUUUUUUUAAAAGGUAAAAGUGCGUGCAAAGCCCAAAUUCAUUUUUUUAGUCCCUUACUCUCCCAUGAUUCAAACUUGGGUGGUUGUGGGAGGACUGAAAAUAUAUAAGACCGUUAACUUCACUUUUUUUUUCUUUUUUUUUUUUUUUGUUGAGAGAAAAGAGAAGAAGGAUAUUACAAAGCAUGAAGCUCGUGCAAUAUAAGGACAAUUAUGGUUUUUUCUUUAAAUUAAAAUGGUAAGAUUUUGAAGCUAAAAGAUUAAAAUAUUAAUUAAAUUGCAACCAUUAAAGAUUUUUUUUUUCAAAUGGUUGCUUUGAAAAUGAGAAUAAUAUAAUAUUUGAAGACUUUUCAAAAUUAAUUACUGUGAUAGAUGCACUAGAAAUUUCUAGCUUUAGUCUAAUGUAUAAAUUGACAAAACGAUAUUAGAAUUCCAGGUGAAAAGAACCCUCUCAUACCAUUUUCUUAAAUUAGGAAUGAUCAUACCUCUGACUCUGCCGGACUGAGGGUGAGGUCUGAACCCCACAUCUCGAGACGCUUGAGAUGGGAAGAGCCCACAUUACGAAAAUAAUCGACAUCUUGCUCUUGCAAUCCACGUAAUUCAAGGUCUUCAAUUCUCUGCAGUUGCACGAUCAGCGAAUCCUUCAAGCAAAUGUUGUUAUUUAGCUGGAGACUGAAUUCACGAUACCAAAUGCCGGUGCUCUCCCAAUAGCCAACAUCUCCAAUGCGUAUGAUGUACCUUUCCAGCUUCUCCAAGAGCAGGCCUCUGGGCAGAGUGCUGACGUCAUAGACGUGUAAUUCCAAAGAGGUCAAGUUGGGCAAAUGCUUCAACUCCUCAAGGCUUGCAUUCUUAACCCCUUCUUCCACCUCCACCUCCCAUUUAUCAAAGCUUUCACCUAUAUAUAGUUCUUCUAAACGGGAUAAUUUUGACAGUAUAUUUGGUGGAAUAACUUCUAGUUCCUCACAAUCUCUCAAAUCAAGCAAAUUUAGCCAAGUCAAUUCACCUACUUCUGUUGGCAUCUGCUUAAUAUCGGAGCCUCUUAAGCAAAGGAUUUCUAGAUUCUUCUUCAAGUCUACUACAAAACUUAUAUCAGGCAAGCUGCAGCGACACAAACUCAGUGUUCGAAGGUUUGACAGGAGACCAAGUGAUGAAGGCAGUACCAUGUCAGUCAAGUUUACAACUCUGACCUCGAUCAUGCUCUUGAAAAAGUUGUCUGGAAUUGUUACUCGUGAAGAUUCCCAAGGAUCAUUACUUAGAAAAAGAAGUUCGAGUUGAGGACAUUCCAGUACUUCAGGAAGCAAAUUAGGCUUGAUAUCAUGUAAGACGAUUGAAGUGCAAUGCUUUAUUGCACUUCCGUCUGACCAUUCCCUGCAACCAUCAACCUGCUCAUUUGUAGCAGUAAACACAUUUCGUUCAGUAGAUGCAAUUGAUACGGCGACAUCGCGAACUACAUCAUGCAUAGAAAACAACUCUUUCUCCUGGCUUAUAUGGUCAAGCAACAUACAAGAAGCUUUGAGUGUGCGCACCAAUGUAUGUACUCGAUUUCGUGCUACUUCAAUCUUAUUCACACCUUGAAAUAAACCCAAUCCCAUACCACACAUUAACAAGUCAUCAAUAGAUGAUAUGGCUGUAUAUCCUAUUAGCAAAAAGAUGUUCUUGAGAUCAUCCCUUCCUAGUUUAUUGUAGCUCAACUCGAUAGCUUUAAAUGCGGCUGGCUGUACAUCCUUAAAAUUCGAUGAAGAAGGCCUUCUUAGCUGUUCCAAUGCAUCCUUCCAUUCACGUAUGCUGUUGCUCCUUAAUGCCCUUGCAACCGUCACAAUGGAAACUGGUAGACCUGCACAUUCCUCUGCCACAUUCCUUGCCACCUCUUCCAAUUCACUACCUUCAACAUAAUCACCUGCCAUCUUCUUGAAUAGACUCCAAGCUUCUUCUUCGUUUAAAACACCAACUGGGAAAUUUGUUCGACAAUCCAUCUUCUCAGACAAUACAUUUAGACUUCUGGCCGUCAACAAUACUUUACAACCAUCUCCAAGAGGAAUUCGGACAUUCCCCAAAUUAAGAUUCUCCCAAAUGUUGUCUAAAACUAUCAGGAUCUUCUUCACUUUUUUUAUACCUUCACAUAACCUGCCUGCCCUUCCUUCAUCACUUUCCUCAUGCAACUUCAGGCCUAAUUUAUCUGCAAUUACUCCUUGAAUCUUUCGUAUGUCUUGAUUCUGAGACACCUCAACAAAAACCACCUGAUCAAAGAGUUUGUCACUCUUGACUUUCCUAGCAACUUCUUCGGCCAGCGUCGUCUUUCCGAUUCCGCCCAUUCCAUAGAUCCCAAGCAUGUUGACAUCGCGAUCUUCUAGUGCACUGAGUAUACUCAUCAAAGUGGACAUUCUUGAUUCAAAGGGCUCGUAGUCUUUGCUAGGGAUAAGCCGAAUAUCCUCUGGAGCAGUACGGUAGGAAAUUCUAUCAAAUCUUCGAUCUUCUCGGACUUUGACAACAGCCUCCUUCUUCCUCUCUGCUUCCUUGCUAAGUCGACGGCGGGUCUUCAAAUUAGGACACAACCCCUUGAAACAACGUUUAGUUGCAGCGGCUUCAUCUUCUGUAAAUUUAUCUGCCUCUUCAAUGACUUUGUUGGCCCCUUCAAGCCAACUCCUAACGUUCUCUUCAAUUUCUUCCCCGUUUCGUUCAGCCUCAUCAACCUGGUGCUCUGUACGCACCCUCUCAGACUUUAGUUUCUCAACUUCAGUCUUGAGAUUCUGUAAGUUGCUCGUGUACUUACUCUCACGCAAAUAGCUAAUUUGGCGAUAUGCGGGAGGAGCCAAGCACUUCACAACUUCUACAACAAUAGUAAGAAUGAAAUCAGCCAUCUUCAGUCCUUUGUCCCUGUCUCUCGAUCUCUCUUUUUCUGAAUUUUUGAAAAACAAUUGACUAUUUAGGAAGCACACUGAGUGAUUGAACACAAGUGACUACAACAAGAUGGAACAAAAUAAAAAGGAAAAAAAUACAAAGAGUGGAUGGAGAAUAAAACAGAGACAGCGGCACAGCUGGACACAACUAGAUAGAGAACAGAGGAAAACCAAAUAACAAGACUGAAGAUUACAACAAACAGAGGCCAAGUAUUGUUGAGAUCAGAAGAUGGAAAAUUCAAAAGAGUUGAUGGCAGAUGCUGAAUAACAGAACAACAAUGAACGCAAUAAACAGAAGCAAAGUGUGUUUGCGAUCGACAGACGGAAGUAAGGAAAGCGGUUGUUGAUUGAAAAUGAAUGAAUGCAAAGAAAGACUGAUGUUGAAAAUUGAUGUCAAUAGCGAAGGAAUAAUUGAACUUUCGCUGAAUUAUUGUUUGUGGCCUUCUUUUACUUUUUAUUUGUGGGUCAUGUCUUUUGGAACUAAUCAUCUUAGCUUAUGCCUUACAGCUUUAAGGCCAGUAACCGGUGUCCGUUGGAUAAGCAUAUAGAAAUCCAACGGUGGAUAUAUAUCCUUGCAGAACAAAAUUCAACAGCAACACCCCAACUUUAAAUAUGAUUAUCUGUUGGGGAGUGCUGGGCUGCAGUUUCUUAAGGAGAUUUAUAUAUCCUCCUCAAAAAUAAAUGUUUUAAGAUAGAUAUUUAGACUAUUUCAUCAUAAAAUAAAUGUAAUUAAUUUUUUUUAUAAAUAUUUAUUUAUUUUUUUAAUUACUAAUGACCUUUGAAUAUACAUAUCACUAAUUCAAAAAAUAAAUUGUGAUUAUUUGUUAAUGUAUGCGAUUACUUGUGAUGGUAAACUUUUGAAGUUAAAUUAAAAAAAAAAAACAGAGCUUUUACCAUUACUUGCUUUAUCAUCUUUUAAAUUAGAAUUAUUAUUCUUUUAUUUUUUUCAAGUUGCCAACUCAUCCGCAUUCUUUUUUAUUGAAUUUGAAGAUCAAUGAUUAUAAAUUUGUGUAAAAAUUUUAAGCCAAAAUUUUAAAUUAAAAUAAUCAUUAACUUAUUGGAAAAUAAUAACUUGGUAUAACAAAUAUUAUAUCCUAUACUUUAUUGCUACAAGAUUACAAAACCUUAUAUUAUAUUAUGUUUCCAUAUUUCUCCUUUAUAGUAAAGACUCAUACUUCUUCUCUAGUAGAUGUUAAAGUAUUGGCUUAAACUUUUUAACCAGCACAGUAGACUAUUAAGCUAUAUAUGCUAUAAUGUCCCUCUUUCCUCACAGAUUAAACCAAUCUAAUCUCAGAGUGAGUUGAUACCAUGAGUUUGCAUUUGUCAUCAAAGGAGCAUCAUUAUUAAUUAAUAUAGGUUCGAUCAAUAGGUAUGAUAAUAAAUUUUUUUAUCUACAAAUACUAUUUUUCAAAAUAUUAUAUCUUUAGACUUAACUAAAUAUCUUCUAACCAUAUAUGUACAGUUUGUUUGAUCUCUUUUAAAUAUUGGAGAUUACAACAGAACAGAUGCGAAUUAGCAGUGACGCUGAGUUUAGAAGAUUGAAAUUAAGAAAAUUAAGGAAAGGAUAAGGAUGUAUUUUCAAAGUGAAUUAUUGAGAGAUCUUUGAAGAUUACUUCCGUCAAGAGCUGGGUCCCAUACUCUUUCGCCUUUGUCCUCCAGUCAACCAUAAGACAAAUUAUUAUUGAGUGUAAACGGACUUAUUAACCACCAAAUUUUCAAACUUGUGAUCCUUAUUGAAUCUGCAUUCCCCUUUACAAAAGUAAAAAAAAAAAAGUGCAAAUAACGAAAAAAAAUUUUGUUCCUUGACUGCAAGUGCUGUCGACAUUUUCAGACUUGUAAGACCCUUCUACUUGCAAGAUGCCACUGAAUUUGUCUUUUUUUUUUUUUAAAUUACACUAUACUAUUUUAUAUUUUAUAAAAAAAUUUAAUAGAUAUUAUAAGUUACAAAUUUUUAUAUUUAAUAUUCUCAAAAUAAAUUAUUAAAUAAAUGAUUCAUUUACUAUUUUUUCCUUUAAAUUUUUGUUAUUAAAAAGAUUUUUGGAUAUUGAACGUGAAGGGCUCAACUGAUCGCUAAUUUUGCAGCAAUUGCCCUUUUCUUUCUCCCCCAAUUGUUUUGAAAAAUAUCCAGACUCAUUCAGCGAAGUAUCCGAGGCCAAAGGGCUAAAAGAUGGGACACCCGCAUGUGCUUCUAAUUACAAAAUCUAAAGUUAGGGGGACCAUAACUUACAUUUAAUAUAAUUUAUGAUAGGGGUCCGCCUAUGUUACCACUGUACAAUAAGUUUGGUCUUUUCUGACUCAGUUGUGAUGAGCCCCUUGUACUCGAUAUUAUUUACUAUUUAUUUAUAAGUAUUAUAAAAAUUUUUGCUUACUUAUUAUAUAAAAAUUUAAUUGGUUCCCUUACACUCUUAUUCAUUUACUAUUUUUUUGUAGUAUCAAAAGAAUUUAUAUUUACAACCACGAUACAUUAAUUAUCAUAACACUCUAAUAUUAAUAAAAAGACAAAGACAUCCUUAAAUUAAAACAAAAAAAAUACUUUCUUCUUUUGAGGAAUUACGGUAUCUCAUUUUCCACCACUCAUUAUCAACAAAAUUUUUAAGGAUAUAACCAUUCAUCUUCUUUAUAAUAUCAUCUCGCAAUAAUUAAUACUUUCAUGAAAAAAUAAUUAACAAAAUAAAAAAAUAAAUUCCCAUUGAAUACAUCCCUCUCCACUAUUAAUUUCUCUUCAUCAAUAACCUUUAUCGACAAUUAAAACCACCAUUAGACUCAUCAUAAAGAGAGAGUAAGAGAAAGAAAGAAGAAACGAGAAAAAAUAUAUGAACCUUUUAUAAUUUUAUAGUGCGUUCACUAAACGAGAAUCGAAAUGAGGUGAAAUCAAAACGAGAAAUUAAGGGCCCGUUUGGUAUUGUUUUUGAAUCUGUAUUUUCUGAGAAUAAAAAUGAAAAUGAAAAUGGUGUUUUGCAGUUGCUGUAUUUUGAAUUUAAGUAUGCGUCUGGUAUUAUUUUCUGUAUCCUGUAUUUUAAAACUGAAAACAGUAACAUGCGUUCGGUAGACACAGUCGAAAAUGAUAAAAACAGAGAAUAUGCGUUCGGUAAUACUUUUUUCAAAAACAGUUUUUACUAUUAACCAUUUACAUCAUAUUUAUAGUUAUAAAAUAAUUAUUUAGCUAAUACAUACACAAAUACAACAUAAUAAUUUAAAACAAAAUUAUUAUAAAAAAUUUACAUGAUGAUAAAGUUUUAGAAUUAACAUUAAUUAAAAAAAAUUACAUUGUCAUUGUUUUUACAUCAUAAUUAAGAUAUAUAUUACAACACAUGAUUUAAACAAAAUAAUUAUAAAAAAAAUACAUGAUAGACAUUAUACAUUACGUAUGUAAUUAUGCCACAUAGAAGUUGCAAUUCUAUCUCUUGUAGCACUCAUCUCGGCGACACUUGCUGGAGAUAAAUCAAUAUUAGUAAGUGGCCUACUAGUGUCUCCUUCUUCGAUGGUAACCAAAUCUUGUACAUCAAAGUCCCCAAAUAACCUAUCACUUGCAUUUUCUCGUCGAAUAAAGUUAUGUAAAGCGCAACAUGCAAUUGGAAUUAGACGUUGCUUACGUAAACUAUAAUUAUGCAUAUCCCUUAAAAUUGAAAAUCGCGCUUUUAAAACACCAAAGCAUCGCUCAAUUACAUUACGCAAUGAUGAAUGUCUGUAAUUAAACAAUUCUUGGGGACCUCUAGGUGCUCGACCUGAUCCUCUAUAAUCACGUAAAUGAUAUCUCUCACCUCUAUAUGGUGUCAAAAAUCCUUUCAUAUUUAUGUAUCCAGAAUCCACAACGUAGUAAUAUCCUAAAAUAUAGAAACAAUAAAACAUAACUUAAUUAAAAAAUAAAGGCCAAAGAUAUUAACACACACACACACACACACACAAACAUAUAUAUAUAUAUCUCAAUAUUCUUACCUUCUUCCGGACGUGGAAACCCAGAUUCUGGUCUAUUUAAGGCAUCCAUAAACACCCUUGAGUCAUUGGCGGUACCUUCCCAACCCGUAUAUACAAAUGUGAACAUCAUGUCAAAAGAACAUGCACACAUGAUAUUUUGAGUCACCUGAGUCUUUCUAUCUCGAUAUGAUAUCUGUUUAUGUGCAGGUGACCAUGCAGCAAUGUGGGUUCCAUCAAUUGCACCGAUACACUUCUGUGAAAAUAUGUCAAAAUUAUUAAUUUAUUAACCAAAUGUUAAUGUCACAUAAACUUUGAAGUAACAUGUAUUGAAUUUCUUACCUCAAAAUAUGGAAAAAAAUUUGGAUUGUUACUAAUCUCUGAUGGCGUUUCCCCUUGAGGUUUUGGUUUUAUAAUGUGAUUUGCCAAUUGACAAAGUGCUUUUAAAACACGCUUAAAGUGUGAAAAAACAGUAUCCCCUGAACGUUGAAAACGCUCAGAUACAACCCUCACAACAGCACCAUGGGACAAUACAUACAAGCACAUUGCUACAGCCUCCUUGAUACAAACAUGUCUAUCAUUCUCUAAUAACUGUAGAUGUUCAAGUGUAUAACAUAAUCAAAUAAGUGUAUAAAUAAAACCAAAAAAUAUUAUUUUAAUUUAAUACGAAACUAUUUAAUAUACUACAAAUAUAGUUUUACCUUAAUAUAUUCAGCCCAAACAGCUUCCGAUGCUGUGACCGUAUUUGAAACAUGAUCCCAACCAAACCCGGUAUGAGCUACUAAGUCAGAAAACUCUCGAUGUUUUUUGCGCAACCUAUUAAACUUGGACUUAAGUUGCCCUACAUUGAAUCUUUUUUGGCAUUGUUCUAACAUCUCAUCACUUAUAGUGUUCCAAAUUUUCUUAGUGAAAGUUGAUGUUUGUAAAUCACCCUUUUUAACAUGGUCAUGUACAAUACGAAUAAAAACGGUUUCGGUCCGGCUAGACCAAUCAGCCUUAUCCUCAACAUCAACAUCAUGUGAAUCCAUAUCUUGAAAAAUUAGAAAAAAUAACACAUAUCAAAUAAUGAUCAAAUUCAACAUAACAUAUACAUAUUUCAGCAACAUGUCAUACAUUAAAAACUGAAUGGUACCAAAAAAAAAUAAAAAAUAAAACAUAUAUCAAAUAUUAAUCAAAUUAAAAACACUGCUAUUAAAUUUUUAGAUAUAAACAUACAAUUUUCAGUACAUGCUAUUAAUCCCCCACUAAAUUUCAGUAAUGUAAUCAACAUAAAGGUUGCAUUGCUAUGACUUUUUGCAUUAAUAUUGAUAACUAAAAGCCUUAACUUGCUUUUUGAACUUGGUUAUUUGUUACUCAAUGCAGACAGCUUACAACUUGAAGAUUUGGGAAUCAUUUACCACGGAAAUACCCACCCAGGUAUUUGGUAUGCUAGUGUAGUGUUUUUGGGAACAAUUUAGUCAUCAAGAUGUCUGGUUAUGGUGUAGCUAAUACCAAAAUUUGUAGAAGUAUCUAAAUAAAAAUAAAAUGUGCUCUUUAUUUUGCUAAUAUUUUUUGUUCUAGUAAUUUCAUAGAAUUUAUAUUGGUACAGAGAUAGCUAUGUCUCAAGCCUAUAGUAAUUGCAAUUUUCUAAAUGGCUCAGCGUCUUUCCUUGGUCUGAGGAACAAACAUGGGGAUGAAACAAAAAUCUGGCAUCAGAAUCCAUAUGCUGGCUAUUUUUAACAUUGCUUUUUUGGGUUUCAGCUAUCAUAGUCUAGAGUACUUUUGCACGGUUAAUUAAGUUAAUAACAGUGGAAAGUUUUCCAAUCAGCAUAAAGGAAUUCCCACAAGAAAUUGUUUGUUUUAAUAGAUUUAAUCUCUAAAAUAAAUGAGGAAAAAUUUCAGCUCAUAAAUAAACAAUUUGUCACUACAUAUGAACAACCUCAGAAAUUUCCAGAAUUAAAAAUCACUCAAAUCAUCUCUAAAAAUUUUCAGUUCAUAAACAAAAUAAAUACCAGCAAGUGACAGAUCCGGGAGAGCAACAAUGGUUGGGCAAGUGCAGAUCCGAGAGAGCAAGUGCACCGAGAGAGCAAGUGCAGAUCCGAGAGAGCAAAGACGAAGUAGCAGCAGCUGGACGGAGUCGGAGUAGCAGCAGCUGGACGGAGUCGGAGCAGCAGCGGUUACAGCGGAGAAAGAGCAGCGGCAGUGGCUAGCACACCAAGAGCGACCAAGAGAGAGAUUUGCUGCAACUGGAUUGAGAAAAUUGAGGGGAAAGAGGGUGCUGCAGUGAACUGGAUUGAGAGUGAGGGUUGCAGUGAAGAGAAAAGUGAGGGCUGCAGGGUCACGAUUUUUUUGUUGUUUUUUAAUUCAUUUUUAGGUUUAGUUUGUAAAAUUUGGAAAACAUGUUUAACUUGUUUUCAGUUGUAUAGUUAUAAUAAUGAAUCCGGAUUUUAUGUUUUGUAAUUUAUUUUGUGAAACAAAUCUACCGAACAUGUUUUAUGUGUGUAUUAUAAAAAUGAAAACGAAAACAUGGCUUGCAAAACGGUACCGAACGGGCCCUAAGUUAUCUGACAUCAGAUGACCGCUGUCAUCUGACCAAACCCCAGCAACCAUGGGAAAAAUCACCUACUUGUUUUAGGAGCAGGAGCAGGAGCAGGAGGAGGAAAUUAAGUUAGGGAUUUGGAGUGAUAGGGAAAAAGCUGAUUGUUGAGAAAUAUAUAUACCUUUUGUAUGGUUGUGUUAAGGUCGCCCUUCCAAGCCCAACUUGCUUCACUCCGCCGCUGCACUUCGUGUAAUUUGGGUGUACUUAAAUUUCCUUCAGAGAAAAUCUUCAUAUCGGGGCAAUCAUCCACCACUAAUCUUUCCAAAGAUGGGAACUUGAAAGCACAAUUGCCAGAGCAGAAGCUUGUCAAACUUUUUAAGUCUAAAAGCUUCAACUCCUUCAAUUCUCUGAAAGUAAUAACCUCAUCUUUUGCCACAACAUCAUCCACCAGUACUAUUUCUGUUAUCAUAACGCAUGAUUUUAUCUUCAUAUAUCUAAGUCGCACCAGAGACUUUGCAAUUGAGGAUGUUAAUACGAUUUUCAAUCUUUCGCAACUGAAUACCACCAGAUUUGUAAGAUUCUGAAAGGAUGUCGACGAUGGCACUAGAUUGACCAAACGGUCACACCCCUUUACACGUAGAAUAACCAAGUUGUUCGUAACAGAGGACUCCCUUAUCAAAAUGUUCUCCAGAUGAUAACAAUUAUUUGCUUCACUUAUUUCUACUGCCAUACCAUUUUCAACCUUCUCUUUCGGCGACCGGCCACCAUAUCCUUGUAUUUGGAGGACUUUCAUUGUGUGAAGUCUCUGGAGGAAGUCAUCAAGUGAUACAAUAGUCGGCUCAUCAACCAACUCCACAAAAAGAUAUUUUAGUUUGCAAAGCAAGUCUUCAAAAAAUAGAUAUUUAUUUGUUCCUAUGUACUUUGCAUCAACUUUCAACUCUUCCAAAUUAGGGAAUACCUGGGAGAUCGAUCAGAACCAAAAAAAAAAAAAAUACAAGAUGAAUCAGUUGAUGAGAAUUAUAAGUUACCACUAAUUUAUACAAUAUAUUUUAUUCAAUAAAUCAAUAAAUACAAGAUAAACUUUCACAGUACGUACAUAAGAAUUGAAAAUUUGAUUAUAAAAUUCUUGUACGUACCCUUUCUGUCGAGAUAUUAGUAGUUUUUUCGUAUCUCACCAUGAAUUCAGGACAUGCAGAUAUCCAUAAUUCUUCCAAGGAUGGAAAUUCAAGAAUAUCAAGAUCUCCAGUGCAGAAGCUUGUGAACUUUUCAAGAUCAGACAUCCUCAGAGAUUGCAACUGGGGAAACGUUACAAUAUUAUUCUUCAUUUCUUCUUGGUUGUCCACGACUAUUAACUCUUCCAGGACAGGACAUUUGACUAUCAUAACGUGUUGGAGUCGAACAAAGCUACUAACUGUAGAAGAUGAAAAUAGACAUCUUAAAUUCAUACAGCUGUACAGGGUCAAGCGCGUUAAAUUUUGAAUACCACAAGACAUGACUGCAACUUGGUUCAGCCAAAUCCUCUCAACAUUUAUUGAAUACAACAUCAACUCCUCCAAAUUUGGUAAUGCAACCUGCACGAUCAAAAAAUUAACUUGUUAAUUACAAGCAACAAUUAUUAAUCACUCUUUGCCAUAUUUGUUACCAAACAGGAAUAUAACAAAGAAAAAAAAACAAAAAUUAUAGAGAAUUAAUAAGACGAUUGACUUAUUAAUAACUGACCUUCUCAGGGAAAAGCGUAUUAUAAAUUUGGACAUUGUCCUCCAAAAUGAUUUCAUGUGACUGCAAAUCAUUAUCUGAUUCCUGUUGUCUCUGUUGACGUUGCAGGUGUCUUGAUUUUAGAGCGUAAGCCUAAUUGUGAGCACAAUCUUAAUGCAUAGAUACAAGAUCUUUAAAAAUUAGUAUAAUAAACUUAGCACUAAAUUCAAAUUUCAUAUUUCGGAUUCCAUGAUUAAGAUUUUUUAAAUAAAAAUUUAAUAGAGUUAAUUUAAAAAUAAAAAUUAAAUAUGAAAAAUAAACUUGCAAUUAUGGAUUUAAUUUUGAUAAAUAAUGAAUGUUCUCUUUAUAUUUUUUUUAAAAGGUAAAAGAGCAUACAAAGCCCAAAUUCAUUUUUUUAGUCCCUUACUCUCCCUUGAUUCAAACUUGGGUGGUUGUAGGAGGACUGAAAAUAUAUAAGACAGUUAACUUCACUUUUUUUUUUCUUUUUUUUUUGUUGAGAGAAAAGAGAAGAAGGAUAUUACAAAGCAUGAAGCUCGUGCAAUAUAAGGGCAAUUGUGGUUUUUUCUUUAAAUUAAAAUGGUAAGAUUCUGAAGCUAAAAGAUUAAAAUAUUAAUUAAAUUGCAAACAUUAAAGAUUUUUUUUUUCCAAAAUUGGUUGCUUUGAAAAUGAGAAUAAUAUAAUAUUUGAAGACUUUUCAAAAUUAAUUACUGUGAUGCACUAGAAAUUUCUAGCUUUAGUCUAAUGUAUAAAUUGACAAAACGAUAUUAGAAUCCCAGGUGAAAAGAACCCUCUCAUACCAAUUAUUUAAAUUAGGAAUGAUCAUACCUCUGACUCUGCCGGAUUGAGGGCGAGCCAGAGACGCUUGAGAUGGGAAGAGCCCACUUUGACUAAUUCAUUACGAAAAUAAUCGACAUCUUGCUCUUGCAAUCCACAUAAUUGAAGGUCUUCAAUUCUCUGCAGUUGCACGAUCAGCGAAUCCUUCAAGCAAAUCUUGUUAUUUAGCUCGAGACUGAAUUCACGACACCCAAUGCCGGUGCUCUCCCAAUAGCCAUCAUCUCCAAUGCGUAUGCUGUACCUUUCCAGCUUCUCCAAGAGCAGGCCUCUGGGCAGAGUGCUGACGUCACGGGCGCGUAAUUCCAAAGAGGUCAAGUUGGGCAAAUGCUUCGACUCCUCAAGGCUUGCAUUCUUAAUCCCUUCUUCCACCUCCACCUCCCAUUUAUCAAAGCUUAUACGACCUAUAUAUAGUUCUUCUAAACGGGAUAAUUUUGACAGUAUAUUUGGUGGAAUAACUUCUAGGUCCUCACAAUCUCUCAAAUCAAGCAACUUUAGCCAAGUCAAUUCACCUACUUCUACCGGCAACUUCUUAAUAUCAGAAUCUCUUAGGCAAAGGAUUUCUAGUUUCUUCAAGUCUCCUACAACACUUAGAUCAGGCAGGUAGCACCAACACAAACUCAGUGUUCGAAGGUUUGACAGGAGACCAAGUGAUGAAGGCAGUGACCGUAGAUCCAUGUCAGUCAAGUUUACAACUCUGACCUGUAUCAUCCUCUCGAAAAAGUUGCUUGGAAUUGUUAAUGAUGAAGAUUCCCAACGACCAGCACUUAGAAACAGAAGUUCGAGUUGAGGACAUUCCAGUACUUCAGGAAGCAAAUUAGUCUUGAUACCAUGCAAGACGAUUGAAGUGCAAUGCUUUAUUGCACUUCCGUCCGACCAUUCCCUGCAACCAUCAACCUGCUCAUUUGUAGCAGUAAACACAUUUCGUUCAGUAGAUGCAAUUGAUAUGGCGACAUCGCGAACUACAUCAUGCAUAGAAAACAACUCUUCAUCCUUGCUUUCAUGGUCAAGCAACAUACAAGAAGCUUUGAGUGUGCGCACCAAUGUAUGUACUCGAUUUCGUGCUUCUUCAAUCUUAUUCACGCCUUGAAAUAAACCCAAUCCCAUACCACACAUUAACAAGUCAUCAAUAGAUGCUAUGGCUGUAUAUCCUAUUAGCAAAAAGAUGUUCUUGAGAUCAUCCCUUCCUAGUUUAUUGUAGCUCAACUCGAUAGCUUUAAAUGCGGCUGGCUGAACAUCCUUAAAAUUCGAUGAAGAAGGCCUUCUUAGCUGUUCCAAUGCAUCCUUCCAUUCACGUAUGCUGUUGCUCCUUAAUGCCCUUGCAACCGUCACAAUGGAAACUGGUAGACCUGCACAUUCCUUUGCCACAUCCCUUGCUACCUCUUUCAAUUCAUUACCUUCAACAUAAUCACCUGCCAUCUUCGUGAAUAGACUCCAAGCUUCAUCUUCUUUUAAAAAUCCAACUGGGAAAUUUUUUCGAGACUCCAUCUCUCCAGACAAUGCUUGUUCACUCCUUGCCGUGAACAGCACUUUAAUUCCAACAUCCAACAAAUCAAGAUUUUCCCAAAUAUUAUCCAAGAUUACAAGGAUCCUCUUCUCUUUCUUCAGUCGAUCAUAGAGUCUUCUUGCCCUACCCGAUUCACUCUCCUCAUCAAAUUUUAGACCUAGUUUAUCCGCGAUUUCUCCUUGAAUCUUUCUUACGUCUCGACUCUCAGACACCUCAGAAAAAACCACCUGAUCGAAAAGCUUGUCACACUCUGCUUUUCUGGCAACUUCUUUAGCUAGCGUCGUCUUUCCGAUUCCGCCCAUUCCAUAAAUCAAAAGCAUGUUGACAUUGGGAUUUUUUAAUGCAUCAAUUAUUUCAUUCAGAAUGGACGUUCUUGAUUCAAAGGCCUCGAAGUCUUUGUUAGGCAUAAGCAAGGUAUCCUCCGGAAUGAUGCUGUAGGAAAUACUAUUAACUGGUCUAGCGUCCAGGACUUUGACAACAGCCUCCUUCUGCCUCUCUGCUUCCUUGCUAAGUCGAGGGCGGGUCUUCAAAUUAGGACAUAACCCCUUGAAACAACGCUUAUUUGCAGUGGCUUCAUCUUCUGUAAAUUUAUCUGCCUCUUCAAUGACACUGUUGGCCGUUGCAAGCCAAUUCUCAACGUUCUCUUCAAUCUCUUCUCCUUUUCUUUUAGCCUCAUCAACCUGGUGCUCUGUACUCACCCUCUCAGACUUUAGUUUCGCAACUUCAGUGUUGAGAUUCUGUAAGUUGCUCGUGUACUUACUCUCACGCAAAUAGCUAAUUUGGCGAUAUGCGGGAGGAGCCAAGCACUUUACAACUUCUAAAACAAUAGUAAGAAUGAUUUCAGCCAUCUUCAGUCCUUUGUCCUUGUCUCUCUAUCUCUUUUUUUCUGAAUUUUGGAAAAACAAUUCAACAAGUGACCACAACAAGAUGGAACAAAAUAAAAAGGAAAAAAAAUACAAAGAGUGGAUGGAGAAUAAAACAGAGACAGCGGCACAGCUAGACGCAACUAGAUAGAGAACAGAGGAAAACCAAAUAACAAGACUUAAGAUUACAACAAACAGAGGCCAAGUAUUGUUGAGAUCAGAAGAUGGAAAAUUCAAAAGAGUUGAUGGCAGAUGCUGAAUAACAAAAC